rnacentral:lncRNA from 1 species
GCAAGCUCCUCCAAGCACCAUUUGGAAGAUGCAUAGUUUUCAGAAAAAACAAUCACAGAAAGCUUGGCCUCUUCAAUUGUUCUCAGAAGUGAUUCCGAAAUCUCAUCUCCUCUCACAUGCUGAUAAUCUACGAAAGUUAGGAUUUGUUUCCGGUUCAAAGCAGCAUGGAGGUUGCUGGUAAAACCAACACGAGUUUCUUCUCCUCUGAAACUAAGGAAGACAUCAUAUUUAAUUCCUUGUGGCUGGGCGGUGGUUAAGGUGGAAGGAGUAGAUGGUGAUGGAGACAUCAUAUUGUUUUGUGGAGAAACAGUCGAAGAAACAAGAGUAGAUGGCGAUGGAGAAACAUGGCGGCUUCGUAUGAUCAAUCUCCAGAUAUAAACAAACAAAAAGAUAUUGAGAAACAAUAAAAAUACCACCAUUGUUUUGUGGAGAAACAAGAGUAGGACUCUGGUGGUAAGGUAGGUCUGGAGGGAGAGAGCGGAAGUAACUCAAGGAAAAAAGAUGAGGCUGAUUUUGAAUCAGUAGCUUAGGCUUUACGUGUUUAAGACCCUGCCUUAGGCAUAUGUAUCAUUUAUAGGCAUCAAAUCCAAGAAUUUUCUUAGAACAUUACAAGAUUGCACAUUGUUGAUUUCCUAGAAAUUCCCCAGUUACAAAGUGAUGUGAUAGGAAAAGGCAUUUAUACUUUGUUUUGUUUUUAUGGUAUUCACAGUAUUUUUAUAAAUUUUGAUUUUUUUUAAUUAAUUUUUUUAGUUUUUAUUUUAUUUUAAUUUACUGAUAUAAAAAUAAUUUUUAAAAAUCAAAAGCAUAUAUAUUCUUGUUCAUCAUAUCACAGCUGUGAUAGAUGCCUUUUUUAAUAUUUCAAAUGUAUUAGCUAUUCACUUCGCGGAGUAGCAGAUCUUUUGUUAUUUUUUCUUCAACUUUUUUAUUUUAUAUUUUCUUUAAACAGUAAACACUUCUGUCCCACAUCAUUCUUUAAGGACAUUAACUAGUAUAUCGGCAUACAAUUCACAACAGGGUUAAUAUUAAUUUUUUAAAAAUUAGAAAAUAUUACAAGUGUUUAGCAAUAUCUAAAUGUUCCUGGAAAUUAUUUCUUGUAUUUGUUUUCUAAGGAACGGUUGCUUUGAUAUAUUUUUUUCAAAAUAAAAAUAACAUUUUGAUGUAUUUUUUCAAAAAUAUAUUUUAAAAAACAACUGUUACUGCACUCCUAAACACCCUCCUAAAAAAAAGUAUGUGAAAAAAAAACAUUAUAGCAAUUCACAAUAAUUUACGAAGAAAAUUAUAGUGCUUCCCCACAUGAUUUAGCCAUAUUUAUAAUUACUUGUAAUUGUAAUUAUCAAACAACUUAAUAUUAAAAAAAUAAAAUUGACAAAGAUAAUAUUAAAAAAAUUAUAAGAAAGAAAAACCAUGUGGAGAGACAUUGUAACAAUCCACGAUAUUUUGUGAGGAAAGAUACAGUGAUUUCCCACAUGAUUAAGGUUUAUUACAAAGUUAAAUUAUAACCAACUUAAUAUGAAGAAAAAAAAAUUAACGAAGAUAAUUUUGGAAAAAAAAUAUUACAAAAAAAAAAAGAAAACACAAAAGAAAUUGGAAAAAAAAAUAUGAGGAAAAACUGUAUCAAUCUAUAGUGUUUUGUGAGGAAAAACUUGUAUUUACUUGUAAUUGCAAGUCUUAACCAGCUUAAUAUUUAAAAAAUAAAAUUAACAAAGAUAAUUUUAGGGAAAAAAUAACAAAACGGAAAAAAACUAUAUGAAAUAAAACAUUGUAGCAAUCCAUAGUAAUUUGCGAAGAAAGUUAUAGUGUUUUCCUCCCAUAUUGUAACUGUAAUUUUUAACCAGCUCAAUAUUAAAAAAUAAAAUAAAAUAAAAAAAGAUAAUUUCAGAGAAAAUAAAAAAAAACAUAUGGAGAAACACUAGCAAUUAAUAAUGUUUUAAAGAAAAAAAUUACAAAACUAAAUUUUUAAUCAGCUUAAUAUUAAAAAAAUAAAAAUAUAUAAUUUUAAAAAACAAAAUAAAAAACUAUGUAAAAAAACACCACAUCAAUUCAAAAUAUUUUAAAAAAUGAAAUUUAAAGUGAAAUUUUUAAUCAGUUAAAUAUUAAAAAAAUAGAAUUAAUUCAAAAUUACACACAAUCUAUUCAAAUAAACCGGUAGAUGCCUUUUCCUUUUUCCUUUUAUAUAUAUUUAUUUAUUGUGAAGAAGAAGAAGAAAAAGAAGUCGUCUUGAAGGAGAGACGAAGGGACUGGGGAUCGAUGGGGCCAAUCCUCUGGGACGACGACUUGACCUUAAGUACUCUUCCUGGUGAGUGCUAGGGCAGCGUGUUCGGGAAGCUGAGUUUGGAAAUUACGUGUUUGUUUUUACAUGCUUCUUUCCAGCUCAUUACACACAAUCUAUCCAAAUAAAUCGGCAGAUGCCUUUUUCUUUUUCCUUUUAAAGGGAUCAUCGGCCGUCGGUGUUGUUGGAACAUAAACAAUCGAACAUUGGAAGAAAUAAAUAAUUUCCCCAUGCUUAAAUUAAGGCUACUAUUCUUUUGAACUCCGGCCAAACAUGACAGGGCUUUAGUAAAAUGCCUUUUUUCUUCUUCUUCCUCUGUCUUUUGCAGAAAAGAUUGAGAAGUUUAUACACACACCUAUAUACACCUAUAUACGUAUAUAGGUGUGUGUGUAAAUAUAUAUAAGGAAAAAGGAAAAAGGUAUAUAUUGGUGUGUGUGUGUGUAUAAAAGGAAAAAGGAAAAGGCACAUGGCAACUUUAUUAUAAUUAAUGGAUCGAGUAAAAUGUACAAGUUUCUUCGUAUAAUUUUAUUUUUUUCAAAUAGAAUAUUAAUUCGGAACUAAAAACAAUUAAAAAUUUCCAAAAUAUCCAUUUUAAACUGGGAUGAACCCCAGAAAAUAUUCGACUUUUAUCCAUAGUUUUAAAACCCGACCUGGUGGUCGACCCGGUCUUAUGACCGGGUCACGGGUCAGAUGGGUUGACCCGGGCUGACCCGGGUCAACCCAAAAAAAUCUAAUAAAAACUUCAAUAAAUACAAUUCCCCUCUUAUCCCUCUUUCUCAUCAAUCCACUUUUCAACUUUCAAAUUGCUUUCCAGCUUUCAAUCCACUUUCCAGCUUUUCAAUCGCAAAUAAACGUUCUUUUUUAAUCACCAGCAAAUAGGCAUUCUCUUUAAAUUGAGAAUUGAGAACACAUGGGCAUCAGAACAGAAAACAACAACAAUCAUGCAUCAACGACAACGCUGAUAUUCACGCACAAAACUUUGAAGAGGGGCUUUUCAAAUCAUGUCUUGAUGCAGGAUCUGAUCAAAAUCGGGUAUGCUGUCUUCAAUGGAAUCUACAUGAACGAGCAGGGAUCACUAAAAAGAGGAUGUCGUGUUUGGGGUGGAGGUGUAUUACGGGCAGUCGGGCAUAGGAGCUAUGCGAUUGAAAUUGCUUUUUCUUGUUAUCUUUAUCUGCAAUUUUGCAUCCUUCAUCCUUUAUCUGCAUAGUUUUGACUUUAAAUGGCCAAAACGAACGACGUCGUUUCGGACUCUGUAUGUAUAAAAAAACAAAGAGGCCGGGUCUCAGUCGGGUUUGUCCGGGUCGCCGGGUUCCGGGGGUCGACCGGGUUUCACCGGGCCAAUUCCUCGGCGGGUUUUUACUUAGACCCGGACCGGUCCUAGGCCCGGGUCGGCCGGGUCCCGGGUCGACCCGCCGGGCCGGUCCGGGUUUCAAAACUAUGCUUUUAUCCCCCCCUGCUGUCUAAUGUAAAAGACGGGUGUUUUUUUUCACUUGUCACGCUCCCCUGCAUCACCGGCUCAUGGAGGUAAAAAUCUUACGUCACAGCGACAUCAUCUUGUCCCCUGCAUUUUGUCCUCAGCUGGAAGACACGUGCAAAAAAGAGAGAGGUGAUCUAAAGUCAUUGUUGCGGACAAGCAGCAACCAGGAAGCAAUCCACUUGCCCCGGUGUCGUUUCACAAACAGUCAGUCAAAUUCACAGUCAAGGCAGAUGAUAAGGCUUUUGUAAAAUUUUGAGGUGGAUGGCAAUGAUGAUGUCUCAGACUUCAGAAAAUACAACAUUAAAAGAAGCAAAAACCUUAUCAUGAAAUUCGUUUUCCGGCCCUGAAUAAUAAUCAACAGUCAUGGCAUUGUUGAUCAUCGAAAGCCACCGUUAAGAUAAGAAAUGCGUAAUUUCAAGGAAAUAGAUUGCAGUCAAUCCAAGAGGUGGCAAGAAAAAGAGACCCAUCCAGUCAAAUUUUGCUUCCUUCCAGCUCCUUCCUGAAUAAUAAUAUAUUUUUUAAUAUUUAUAUGUAUUAAUGUUAAAAAUAAUUUUAAAAAAAUAAAAAAUAUUAUAUUUUUUUUAAUAAGAAAAACAAGAACUCCCUAUUACACUUACAGAAGAAACAUUCCAUGUAUUCAAUCCAAGUGUUUGCGCGUGUCGAGGACUUUUUUUGCCUCUCAAUAAUUAGUGUUAUUUGUAUUAUAACUUUUUUAAUAUUUCAAAUGGAUGAGCUUUUCCCUUGACUUGGCGUAUUAGCAGCUUUAGGAUCUUUUGUUAUUUUCUCUUCCUUUUUUAUUAUAUAUUUUCUUCACACAGUAUAUCGGCCUGCGAUUCACAUAUUCAGUUAAUAUUAAUCUUUUUAAAAUUAAAAUAGCAGAAGAACUUAUUAGAAAAUCUGUUUAAUAUUGUGGUAAUUAUUUUUUAAAAAAUAUUUUUUAAAAAAAAAAUACAUUAUAUUAAAAUAAUAUAUUUUUAUUUUUAAAAUUUUAUUUUUGACAUUAACACAUCAAAAUAAUAUAAAAAUAAAAAAUAAUAAUUUAAAAUAAAAAAAAUAAAAAAACUCAAAUCCAAAUAUUUUCUUACUACAUUACAGAUGGUUCACAUUUUCCUAGAAAUUUUCAUUAACCACAAAAAGCUUCAUGUCUUGUUAUUAUUAUUAUUAUUUUGUAAUUUGGUAGGGAAGGGCUUCAAGCCUUCCAUCCAAGUGUUUGCGCGUAAACUUUGUUGAGUUUCACAUUAUAUUAUAAUGGUAAAAAAAAACAAUUAUAUAUGAGUGUCCUCUCCCCUGAAACUAAGGUAGACAUCAUAAUUAAUUCCCUGUGGCUGGGCGGUGGUUAUGGUGGAAGGAGUAGAUGGGGAUGGAGAAAUAUGACGGAUUCGUAUGAUGAAUCUCCAGAUAUAAGCAAACAAAAAGAUAGAGAGAAACAAGAAAAACAUCGCCAUUGUUUUGUGGAGAAACAGUCGAAGAAACAAGAGUAAUUAGACUCUGGUGGUAAGGUAGGUCUGGAGGGAGAGAACGGAAGGAACUCAAGGAAAAAAGAUGAGGCUGAUUUUGAAUGAGUAGCUUAGGCUUUACGUGUUUAAGAACCUGCCUUAGGCAUAUGUAUAAUUUAUAAUAAUCAAAUCCAAGAAUUUUCUUAGAACAUUACAAGAUUGCACAUUGUUGAUUUCCUAAAAAAGAUUAGGCAUGUGAUAGAAAAAGGCAUUUAUAUGUUGUUUUGUUUUUAUGGUAUUCCCAGUGUUUUCAUAAAUUCUGAAUUUAAAAAUAAUAAAUUUUUUUAGUUUUUUUAUUAUUUAAUUUACUGGUAUAAAAAUAAUUUUUAAAAAUUAUAAGCUUAUAUAAAUUCUUGUUUAUCAUAUCACAGCUGUGAUAGAUAACUUUUUAAAUAUUUCAAAUGUAUUAGGUCUUCACUUGGCGGAGUAGCAUAUCUUUUGUUAUUUUCUCUUCGACUUUUUUAUUAUAUAUUUUUUAAAAACACUAAACACUUAUGUAUCUUCGGUCCAAGUAUUUUCCUUCCAGAGAUUUUUUUUUUUGCCUUCAUAUUAUAUUAUAAUGGUUAUGAUGAUUUAAUUAAAAAGAACCUGAUAGAAAGUCUGUUUGAUAAUGUACUUGAUUGUUUUUAAAAUAUUAGAAUUACAUUAAAAUAUUAGAAAUACUUGGUUGUUUUGUAAAAAAUUUUUAAUUAGAAAUAUAUUAAAAUAAUAUUUUUUUAUUUUUUAAAAUUUAUUUUUGAUAUUAGAAAAUUAAAAUAAUAUAAUUAAAAUAUAAAAAAAUUAAUUUAAAAUAAACAAAAAAAAUUCAAAUUCAAGCAUUUUCUCAUAGCAUUACAAAAAGUGCACAAUGUUAGAGAACCUGUUUGGUAUAGUGAUAAUAGUUAUUUUUUAAAAUAAUUUUUAUUUAAAAAUAUAUUAAAAUAUUUUUUUAUUUUUUAAAAUUUAUUUUUGAUAUUAGUAUAUUAAAAUAAUAUAAUAAUAUAAAAAUUAAUUUAAAAUAAAAAAAAUCAAAUCCAUGUAUUUUCUCGAACGUUACAAAGGGUGCAAAUCUACUUGGAAAUGUGUAAAGGAUUAAUGUCUUUUCCUUUUUAGAUGUCUUUUCCUUUUUCCGCGUUCCCAAACAGUGUCCCGCAGAUGCCUUUUCCUUUUGCCUUUUUUUAUCGGCAGAUGCCUUUUCCUUUUUAGAUAUUCUUAAAACAAAGUUCUUAAAACUAACAUUUUCAUAACAGGAAAAAGGAAAAGGAAAAGGCAUCUGUGUGUGUAAUUUCAAGGAAAAAAGAAAAAGGAAACACGUAAUUUAAAGGAUUGGCCCAUACCCCGUCCCUUCCUCUCUCCUUCAAGACGACUUGUGUACAGUGAUAAAAGUUAAAGGAAAAAGGAAAAGGCAUUUGCUAGAUUUUUGAGCGUAGAAAAAAUAAUGGACAGAUAGUUAUUUUUUACCAGGUGGAUCCAUCCCAUGUAAGACAUAAAACAGGAAGCUUUGGAGAUGCAUUUGCUAGAUUGAUUAAGAAGAAAGCUCUGACGUUGGAAGAAGUGCAGAGCUUCAGAGACGCUUUGACGGAUGCAGCCAAUCUAUCUGGAUCGAGCUUAGGGAAGUCUGAGUAAGCUCUUGAAGAAUAGUAGCCGUAAUUUAAGCAUGGGGAAAUUAUUUAUUUCCUCCAAUGUUCAAUUGUUUAUGUUCCAAAAACACCGACGGCCGGUGAUCCCUUCAAAAGGAAAAAGGAAAAGGCAUCUGCCAAUUAGCUGGAAGGAAGCAUGUAAAAAGAAGAAUUUAUUAUAAUUACAUGGCUGCAUGCCAAUUAUGUUGCCAAAAGCAGUAAACAGAACCACGAUUGUGAUUUUCAAUCGCUUUUAUAUUAAAAUCGUAGUUUAAAAUAGCAGUUUUUUUAAAACUAUUUUUUUUUAUAAAAAAAAAUCAAACCAUAUUAUAUAUUUCUCUAACUGUAUCAAUUUGUUUUUUAAAAAAAUUCCUAUUAUUAGGGCAGAGUAACAACUAACAAGUUUUUCUCUAACUUUAUCAAUCAUUAAAAUAUAAUGUGAAGUCAACAAGGUAGUAGUACGUGCAAACACUUAAUUUUUUACUGGGUUAGAUCCGGUUCAAUAUAUUUAUUUUUAGAUUGGAUUUGGUUUGGUCGGAAUAGUAGAGACAUGUUCUACUGUUCAUCAUUUUGCUGCUUUCAGUAAUCCUGCGUUUUCAACGCAGAUACUGAUAGGGGCCAUAAAAAGUAAAUUGAGUUUUAUUAAAAAAUAAAAUUAAACCAUAUAUUUCUCUAAUUGUAUCAAUUUGUUUUUUAAAAAAAUUCCUAUUAUUAAGGCAAAGUAACAAAAAGAAAAAACAAAUAACAAGACAUUAAGCCUUUUUGUACACUGGAAAUACAUGGAUUUGAUUUUUUUUUAUUUUUAUAUCAUUUUAAUGUACUAAUAUCAAAAAUAAAUUUUAAAAUCAUUUUGAAAAACAAAUGUUACCACAAUACCAAAUAGGUUUUCUAACAACUUCUUCUUCGUCAAAUCAUCAUAAUCAUUAUAAUAUAAUGUAAAAGCAAAAAAGUCUUUGGCACAUGCAAACACUUGGACUAAAGAUAUAGAAGGUGUUUGCGAGUGUGGUAAUUGUAAGACCCAAACUUGUAGCCCAAACCCAAGCUCAAGUCAACUCAAACCCAACAUAAGUUAACCUAGGUAUAUAAGAAAAAGUUGCGAGAGAAUUAAUUUUCUCUCUUCUAAAUCUUGUGGCCAUCAUGACCCUCCUCUAAUCAAACUAAGGAUUUCAGUUUGUGAUCUUGAGUUUUGGGUUUAAAAAAAGUGGAAGUAGCAAGUGGUUUUCUCUCAUGUUACUUUCGAUUAUGGUUUGUUUAUGGAAAGAUUAAAAAAGAGAUUACGGUUUAUAAGGAUUUGAAGUUUGUUUUGUUAAGAUUAAUUCAUGAUUAUUAAUGGUUUAAUGUUAAGUGGUUGAUAUUGAGUAUGUUGUUAAAAAUAAAGUUUUAUGAGUUGAUUUGUUUAAAUUAAUUUUUUUAUGGGUUAAGAAAUCCAUUUCAACCUUGUUGGAAAAUCUAGACAGAAUGGUCUUAAGGUUGAAGAUUAAAAAACUUUAUUUUGGUACUUGAUUUAUAAAAAUUAUAAUUUAGUCCCUCAACUUUGAAAAAUUAUAAUUUGAUCCCUGAUAUGUCUUUUGAGAUUUUGGACAGUGUUAUUAUGAGGUUAAGGAUGAUGAAUCUCAGUUUGAUAAUUGAUUUGAAAUAUUUUUAGUUUGGUCCCUUAAUUUUGGAAAUUUACAUUUUAGUCCUUGAACUUUUAAAAAAUUAUAGUUUGGUCCCUGUGUCAUUCUGGACAAAAUUAAGGAUGGUUUAUGAGUGAAAUUUCAAUGUGGUUAUGUAUUUAUAGUUUGGUCUAGUUUUGGUAAAAUUACUUUUUAGUCCCUGUUUUGGAUAAUUGUCGCUUUAGUCCCUAAACCUAGAAGACUAAACCUGGUUUUCUUUUAUGCAUUGGAAUCUAUUAUUUGUGUUGUUUUGAGUUGCUUUUGAGUAUAUUUUCUAUAUUUGUUAUAGGCUCUCCUAAUGAUCCUCAAUAGAUUUUACAAGUCUUUCAUCUGAUAUUCCUUUUAAUCUAUAUUUUUCCGGGUAAGUGGAAUAAUCUUUAAUGCAUAUAAUAUAAAUAAAUAUGUAAGUUGAUUAUAUGAUGAGUACGACUAGUUAAUCUCUUGAAUACUUAUAUAUGUUGCUAUAUUUUUUGAGUACUCACUUAUUCUUGAAUUUGCACCCGCUUUUUGUCAAACUAAAUUCUAAUCAAUAUGAUAUAUAUUUCUUUGAUGAUUCUGUGAAUAUCUAUUAUGUCUUGAUAUAGAACUUGUCAAUAACUCCAUGCUAAUGGAGAGUAGUUAGCCUUCACUCAUCUUCAGGGACAUUGUAAGAAACAACUUGGUCGAUAAAUAGUCUGAUGGAGUGUGAGAAACCAAUAAUUAGAGAAACUUAAGGUUCAAUAAACCAAAUUUAGCAAUGACACAUGCAAAAUAGACAAAGGGGAUCCAUCUUAUUGGUCAAAUGCAAGCCAUUUUUAUGGAAUACAUUAAAGGAUCUGAGUACUUGCACAAUAUCAGAAAAGUGUGAAGUUCAUUUUGAACAUUAUCAGCUUAAAAAUCAACAUUUGUGUGUGUGAAAGAACCAUUGACCAAAGCACUAUAACAAAUAAGAGUAUACCUGACUGAGGCUAAUGAUGGCAAUAAAUUGUAAAUUAUAAGGUCUUCUCCCACUCUGAAAACCAAGUUCAUGAGAGAUGGAACAAUUUCUACAAUGUUGUUGUGCUUCUUUAUUAAUCAACCAAGCUGUACAUAUAGGUUUAAGAGAAACUAAUCAACACCUAAAUACAAGGAAGGAUAAGAUGAAGACUCAUAGUCUUAAAGAAGUUUGAACUGAAUGAUUUAAUCUUCAUUCUGAUAGUUCAAGCUUGGUUGGCAAGAAGAAUGUGAGGAAAGCAACGAAAAGGAAAAGAAAAAAAAAUAUAUAGAAAACAUGAAUUUAUAUCAUUGGUUCUAUAUGAUAAUAAAAAAGCUCAUAAAAUUAGUCACAACCCAAUACUAAGAUAUAUAUUUUAAUAGAGAAAAUGGCAGUGAAGAAGAAUAGCCCAGGAAAUGGCGGCGAAGAUUCGUUUAGCAAGACUGGGAUGCACAAACAUGGCAUUUUACAGAAUUGUUGCUACUAAUAGCCAUACUCCAAGAGAUGGCAAACACCUUCAAGUUGUUGGUUUCUACGACCCCUUAGCAGGUUCCCUCUUCUUCUCUUAUUAUUUUCAUAUACUCAGUUCACAUGAAGAUUUUUUUUUCUAAUUUUAAAGACCUGGACUUUGAAGGCUUAUUGGGUUUAUUUUCAGGUUCUCAUAUCAUCAAUGCAUGGUAUGUGUAGAUAGCUUUGUUGAUGGGGACACCGAACCAGAAACAUUGGUUACAUACGCGUAUGAUCAUAGACGAUGGAGGAUAGCCCAAACCAUUGAGAAAUUGGGCUUUAGCUUAUGUUUUUUGGUUUAAUUUAUAUGAACUUUUAGUUAAGAUUUAUUAAUUUGAUUUUAUUUGUUGGGUUUGAUUUCUUUAUUGUUAGGUAUUUUAUUUAGUGGGCCAUAAGCCCAAACGCUUGUUCUAGUUAGGGUUUGAUGUGAACCUCGUGAUCACGUGGUCACGCAACCCACAAUCAAGAUUGAGAUCUAAUCCCGGAAAAACGAAAUAGGUCUGAUAUGAGUGCGACAUAAUGGAAACCUGCCCCAAGGCACCAACACUAUUGGAAUGAGUAGAAUGACGUCACAAAGCCAGUUAAUCUUCGAUAAGUCAGAUUGAGUUCGUUCAAGAACUGAAGAGUGCAAGAAUCACUCUCACAUGUUAAAACUGAAAAAUUCAGAAUAAUAAUCAUCAAAGCUGCCGAAAUUUUGGCUUACAUGAGUUUAAAUAGUUCUUGAAAAGUUAACCCUAAUGGACCCCUUAUGUGGACUUAUAUGAGGUCCACUCAAAACUGGCCCAAAACCCUAAAAUGAAAAGCCCAUAACCAGAUCCAAACAAGCCUUGGGCUGUAGCUAACAAAAUAAAAUAAAGCCCCUAAUAUUAAAUCCAUGUUCUGCCAUGAGAAUAAUAGAAUGAACUAAAAUAAUAUAGAAUUGAUUGAAGGCUUAUUUAUAGCCUUCCAUGCAGCCCUUUAAUCCUAGAAACAAAAGGAAAAGGUAGCCACCAUGUUGUUUCCAAGUUGUAGUAGGAUUAUUUUGUUUCCUUUGCUGUCCUCAUCUCAUGGCCCAAAUAAGGUUGUAUUGGACCCCUCUUGCACAUGGAUAAGAUGUACUAGGAUCUCCUCUUGAUACUCCAAUGGACCUUCCAAUUCUGACUUGGUGGAAACCUUCAAAACCAAUGCAUUCAAUGCGUCGUUCAAUGUCUUUGUCUUGGACCGAGUCAUUGGUCCAUUUGGAACAUGUAAUGGGUCCUUGCUGGUGUUUCUGGGCUGGUCCGCAUCAGGGUUUUAGUAUUUAUAUCCUACUUUUCAAAAUCUUAAACAGUUUUUGAUGAUUAAUAAAAAUAUUGCAGACUUUGCAUAUCUCUAAUCCCUUUUAUUCUCUUCUUUAGCUUCUUUCUUUCUCUAAACCUUCUUUUUUUUCUUGCUUUAAUCCUUAUUAUUUAUUGUCCCGCGUCAAAUUUAGUAUCAGAGUCAGGGUUUUAAUUGUUUUUACAAUUAAACGAUCCACAAUAUUUAUGCUAAACCCUAGAUCCGAUUUGAUCUUUUAAAAAAAAUUGUUCACUAUUUAAAAAAAAAACCUACUGUUCUAAUUGAAAAAAAAGAAGAAGAGGGAAACAUUGUUCAUCUUCUCCCCCAGCAAACCGCCGCCGCACAGCACGCCACCUUCGCCAGAGGGCAGAUCGGGCAUCCCCAACAACCACCAAAACCCACGACAGCUCUCUAUAGCACCUAAGGCGAAAGAUUUUCCUACAGCAGGCCGCUCUCCACGCCACUUGUAGUCACACCGAUUUACUACCUCUAAAACUCCUACAGCACCUCAACUUCCACCAAUAGCAACAGAUUAGUGGGUUACAAUAAUUGUAGCCCACGCCACCGUCACCAACCAACCCAGACAAUAACCCACAUCCACAACAAGUCACUCACACAAGAAGUAGUAGAUCUUCAUCGACGACGGCUCAUCUACCAGCUCAUCCUCUCCCCGCCAUCAGUAAGUCAGACAUCUAGCCACUACUUCGCUCCACAAGAAACCCACAGAGCCACACUGAAUUGUUAUCUCCAAAAUAAAUUUGUCUUUAGCCUCUUGCACCAUCUAGCGGCACCAACAAUAGCAUCACCCUCACCGAUUCUUAGAUAAAUCGCACCCUCCAGCAGAAGCAGCACCCGCCGCAGUCACAACUGGUCCUUCAGACCUAUUGAUACAGCAACAGUCAUGCCUCGCCACCAGCAAAUGACAAAAAAAGACUCGGUAAUUGCAGAACAGAAGAAGGGAUUUGAGGCAAAAUAAUUAGACCUGCCAUGUCAUUAACCACGCCAACAUAUUUAGCCAUGUCAACAUAUUCAUCCUCGCCAUCAAUGAAGGAAACCAGGAAACCAAAGAAGGCUCUCGAUGCAAAAUUAAUUAAGCAAACUGACCACAUCAUCUACCAUGUCAGCAGUCAAUUCCUCUAGUUUGCCACGUUAGCUCUAAAAAAUUCUAUCUUCCUCCCAGCACUCUAGUUAGUGAAUCACUCUCCCAUGUUAUUUGUUGAAGUUUAUUUUUUUUAUUUUUCACUUGUCAUUUAAAGUUAUUAUUAAUAUUACUUUUGUGCCUAGAAAAUUCUCAAAAAAAAAAAUUCUCACCUUACUUUUUAUUCGUUAAUUUGCUCAUUAACCUUUUUUUAUCAUUAAUAUCUAUUAUAUUGUCCUCUUUAAUAAUUGUGAGUCUUUGCCUUGACAUUGUAUUUGAUUAAUCAUUUACACUUGAGGGUUAAGCAUUACAUGCUUAUAAUCUUAUUGGUGUAAUUUGUUCUUGAUUAAUCUCCACAUUAAAAAAAUAAAAAAAAGAUAGGAUUAGCUUUAUUUUUGUAUUGUGACUUCACUUGCAAGAACCAUUUGUGAUCUCAAUUUCAUUUCUAAGUGAGUGUUGCAUGCUUUUGUGUCAUGAUCAUCUAGUGUUCAAGCUAACACUAUUGUAGACUCGACUAUUAGUGAUACUCUUAUGACCAUUUAAAGGGAACUGCAAACUUAGGUGAUCACCAUAUUUAAAAGAAUUGAGCCCCAAGAAAGUUUUAGAAUAAGGCACUCAAAGACCAAUAAAUAUCACAAGAAUAAUCAUUGUGGACAAGUUCACUCUGAGCGCCACCAGUAUGACUAUCAUUUAGGUUACUCUAAACACGAUGACUUUGAUGAGCUAGUCUUGAGUCCUAACAAAAUAGAAGCCCCCACUUUUGACGGUUGUCAUGACCUUUGGAUAUUUGAUAUGUGGAUUCGUGAUAUGGAUUGAUUCUUUGAGUGGCAUAACUUGUAUGAUAAUAAAAAAGUUAGAUUUGCUGAGAUGAAGCUUAUUGGUGAAACCAAAACUUAUUGGAGAGAAGUUGAAGAUUGUUUAGAGAUGAGAGGUAAACCUCCUAUAACUGAUUGGAUCAAAAAGAAACAAAACCUUCAAGAGAAGUACCUACCCCAGUCUUAUAGGAAUAAACUCUUAAGCCAAUGGAACAAUCUAAGACAAGGGAAUAAGUCUAUCAAUGAGUAUAUAACACAGUUUAAUGAUUACAUGAUGGGAUGAGCCAUAAGAGACAAUGAAGCCAUGACUUUGCGUAGAUUUUUUAAAGGCUUGAAAGAUGAUCUUAGAAGAGAAGUUAUAUUUCAAGGUGUAUCUACCCUUGACCAAGCUUAUACCUUAGUUAAAAACUACAAGUUGGUCACAAAGAAUCAAUGGAAGAAUCAGCAGGACUCUUAUAGUAUCCCUAUUAGGUCCCAAUUCAGAAGUAGUGAUUCUUUGUUAGGUGCUCCACCCCACAGACCUAAUCUUAGUAACUCCCAACUUUAUAAAAAAAGAUAAAGGCAAACGAGUUUUUAAUGAAUUGUCUAAGGUGAGUUCAAUGGUUAAGUAGCACUAAUUGUCUAGGUUUUGGUCAUAUCUAUUUAAAUUGUAGCUCUAAACCUUUAGCCAUCCAAAAAUAUAAGGAUAUAUGUAAAGAGGAAUAUUGUAGUGUGAUUAGUACUUAAAAGUGCAUAUUUAUCAAGGUUUUAUAGCAUCAUUUUGCACUUAAAGUAUCAAUAACUCCUUAACUAAAGCAUGGUUUAUAAUAAUAAGUCUAAUACUUAAAAUACCUUAAUAUAUGGUAAAUGUUCAUCUUAAAUGCAGGCAUAUCACAUAAAUCAAAGGAUUGAUUGAUGAAUUCAACUACUGAAAUUUGUGAAGAUAAGGAGAGGGUGAAAUUUAGAAAAGAGAUGUUGGUGCAGUUCAAACUGAAAUACUAUUCGGUAAUUGGGUCAUAUCUAGAGUUCUAUAUGUCCAAAUGAUAUCAUAUUUUUAAAAAGAUUCAGUAAGAGAUAGGCCUACAACUUUCAUGUUUUCAUCAAGAUCUAAGAAGGCCGUUUUCAAGUCCAAAUGAUAGCAACAACGGAGAAGUCCGAAUCUGUCCUGCAGCUCUAACACUGUUUAGUGUUUGGCCCAUAACUGGCGUUCUAGAAGUCCAAAUGACCUCCAUUUUUUUUCCUGGAAAUUUGAGUCAAUUUCCUACAACUUUCAUGUUUUCUAGUGGACCCAGUUCGGAAGCUAGCAUUUUUGUUUUAUUCAGACAAGAAGAUAAGGAUUUUCACCAAGUCAAAAGUUGGCCACCCACUCAACAAUUAGUUAUCAAAUCAAUAAUUCCGAAUUUUGGCCUAUAAAAGGAGGCAUUUGCCAUGUAUUCUGGGGCUUGGUUGUUCAGAUCAAGCUCAUGCUCUUUAUUUCUCUCUUUAUAUUUUUUUGUAAUUUUUAAGUUUUGCUUUCAUUAAUAUCUUGUUUAUGCUUUUCAUUUCUUUUCCUUUACUUAGUUAACUUGUAUUUUCUUUAUGUUCUUGUUUUGUUUAUUUAUGUUUCUCUUCUUCAUUAUGUUUAGCUAAGUUUAUUAUGUCAAGGUGAAAAGGUUACACUAAUGGUGUAAGAAUAAAUAUAGUGUAAACUCAACAUGGAUCUUAAUGUUUAAUAUUAACAUGUCUUAUCUUUUUAUCUUACUAAUUCUUAAUACCUUGCUUGUUAAAUGGUUAAUCUAGAUUUGUGUUGUAUAACACUUGGUACAGCAAAUGCUUGGCACUCUCAUAGCCCAACAGUAUGGUAUUACCUACACCUGGGCUAUGAAAGGAACUUGAUUUGUUGUUAACAUCAGUUAAUAUCAUGAAUCCUGACAAUAUUUAAAAGUGUGGUGUUAUGUAAUAAGAUAAUUAAUAUGAUCAUGUUAAAAUUUAUAAUGAGCUAUUAAUGAGAAAUCAUCCGAUUGGAACCUCCUUUUUAUGUGUGGUUUCCAUUGAGUAAUAAGAGUUUAUACUAUACUUGUUUGAAAUACCAUUGGUGGAUCCUCUAACCUUGACAUUUGUUUUUAUCAUUGUUUAAUCCUUACUUAAUCUUUAUCUCAAAGUUCUCAUUAAUUUCUUCUCUCUUAUUAUUAUUAUUAUUAUUAUUUACAUUCUGUUUAUAUUAUAUAAUAUAUAUCUUUGAUCUUUUCAUAAACUCAGUAUAUAGGCUGGAAACCUGUGACCCGAUCUUUUAGAUCAUUCUCAGGUAUAACAACGCCACGUACUGAGUAUUAUUAUUAUUUUAUUGUUGUUGUUGUUGUUGUCUUGUUAUUUAUAAUUUAUACAAUUAACCUCUCUGUGGUUCGACCCCGGUCUUGCCGGGUUAUUUAUUACUUCGACACUCCUGCACUUGGGAGAAGACAUCAAGCUUUUGGUCGUGUCAAGUUUUUGGCGCCGUUGCCGGGGAGGUAAAUUCUUGUAUAAAUUAUAAUAUUUAUUUAUUUUUCUACUUUUCAUUUUUUUCUUUUGUUUUGUUUCUUUUUUUUUUUCUUUUCUUUCUUCCUUUUCUUCUCUUUCUACACGUGCAUGAGAGUUUGGUCACGUACAUUAAAUGAUAACUUUGUAAAUACUCAUCUUUAGAAAACAUGGCCGAAGAAGAGGAUAAUCAAUCGCUUUAUAAUGAGAAUAAUCGGGUUAGAACACUUAGAGACUACAUGAAUCCACAAGAACAAUUGCGCGAUCAUGUAUAUUUUUUCCUCCUGAUGCAUCUCAUUUUAAUUUUAAGCCAGGCAUUAUUCAACUUUUACCUUCUUUUCAUGGCUUAGAUCUAGAAAAUCCAUACUUGCAUUUGAGAGAAUUUGAGGAAGUUUGUAACACUUAUAAUGACUCAAAUUGUAGCAUGAACACCAUUAGAUUAAAGCUUUUUCCUUUUUCUUUAAAAGAUAAAGCUAAAACAUGGCUACAAAAUUUGAGACCAGGAUCCAUUCGUGCUUGGGAUGAAUUGCAACAACAAUUUUUAAAGAAGUUUUUUCCAUCUCACAGAACAAACUCUUUCAAAAGACAAAUCACCACUUUCACUCAAAAACCAGGAGAAACAUUUUACCAAUGUUGGGAUAGGUAUCGAGACUUGAUUAAUACUUGCCCUCAUCAUGGUUUUGAAACAUGGAGAUUGGUUUCACAUUUUUAUAAAGGAUUAACACCUAAAGAUAGGCAAAUGGUGGAAUUGAUGUGCAAUGGAACUUUUGAAGAUAAAGACCCUAAUGAAGCAAUGGAGUACCUAGACUUGCUAGCUGAAAAUGCUCAAAAUUGGGACACAAUUUGAGGCACAGUAAAACUCAACCUCAUACAUCUAGUGGAGGUAUGUACAACCUUAGGGAAGAUCAUGACCUCCAAGCCAAUUUGCAUCUUUAGCUAGAAAAGUCGAGGCACUAGAAUUAAAAAGAGUGGUCAAUUAAAAUCUGUUCAAGACAUUGUGUGUCAAAUCUGUGAAACAAAUGAACAUGCAACCAAUGAUUGUCCAACUUUGCCUUCUUUCAAGGAAUGCCUCCAUGAACAAGCCCAUGCUUUAAACAGUUUCCAAAGGCCCAACCAUACUCGCAAACAUACAAUCCUGGUUGGAGAAAUCACCCAAAUUUUAGUUGGAAGAGUGAUAACAAUAAUGCACAAACUUCACAGCCAUCGUUUCAAGCACACCAUAAUUUCCAAAAUUCUCAUGGAUAUGCACCUCCUUAUGCUCCACCUCUAGAAGAAAUCUUGAGGAAACAUUGCAUUCAUUCAUUGAAAAGCAAGAGAUAAUCAACACUCAACUUGCUCAAAGCAUGACAGGUUUUAAAGAUACUCUUGCAAAGUUAACAUCUGCUCUCAGUUUUCAAGAGAACGGUAAGUUUCCAUCUCAACCACAGCAAAAUCCAAAGGAGAAAUACAAUGUAAAUGCAAGUAGUUCAGAAGUCAACACAUGGAUCAAGUCAAAUCAGACAUCACUCUUCAGUGGUAAGGUUAUUGAAAAACCAUUCUUGAACCUUGUGAGAAAGAUGAUGAGUCAAUCUCUGAGGGUAAGGAAGGGGUUGAAUCUGAACAUUGCAAAGAAAAGACUGAUUUCCCACCAGCACUUCCAUUUCCUCAUGCCAUGACCAAACAGGAAGCAAUCGAUGAUGAAAAAGGCACCGAAAAUGUUGUCGCGGAUCAUUUGUCAAAGUUGACAAUAGAUUCGACAUCCGACAUCACACCAAUCAAUGAUUACUUUCCUGAUGAAUCUUUACUUUCUCUUAGUUCAAUGCCUUGGUUUGCUAAAAAUAACAAUUUUCUUGCUUCAGGAUUUUUGACAGCUCAUUUGGAUAACCAAGAUAAAAGAAAGUUUUUGAGCGACGUGCAAAACCUUUAUUGGGAUGACCCUUACUUAUUCAAAUAUUGUCCUGAUCAAAUAUUUCAAAGAUGCAUUCCUGACAAUGAGGUAAGUAGUGUCAUUAAAUUUUGUCACUCUGAAGCAUGUGGGGAUCAUUUCUCGUCAAAAAAGACGACUGCAAAAAUCUUACAAAGUGAAUUUUACUGGCCCACCAUGUUCAAGGACUCAUAUGCAUUCUGCAAAACCUGUGAAAAUUAUCAAAAGGUGGGAUUUAUUUCAAAACAUAGAGAGUCUUUAGAUAAUCUUCCAUUGACUCUUAAGUCUCAUCACAGUGGAGAUGUGCAUAGUGCAAUACAUGAUUUAUGGCCCUAUUUUCAUAAAGAACAUGCUCAUCAUAGUCUUGGGAAUCUGACUAAAAAAAAGACAUUUUUUGCUAGUUUUUUAAAAAAACUGGAUGGGAAGCCUAUCCCCGACCCAUAGAGGGCGUUUAAGCCGUUUUUAGACGUAAAACCAAGGAAAGCUGUGAGCCACAAUCACAACUACCUGUACAUACACAUGCUUUUUCAAAAUAAAUAAAUAAAUAAAUAAAGAGAGAGAGUGUGUGAGACUACGACUGGCCUACAUAUAGGUGGUGUGAUUGCAUUUUCAAUUUCUCAUUUAUAAAUAUUUGCGUCUUUUGGUUUUAUUAUUGUGUUUUGUUGUUUCUUAUAUUUGUUUAAGUGUGUUUCAGGUUUGUUAGUGUUUGCUAUUUCAGGUGAUGUCUUCUAUACUCUAUCUUUCUACCUUAAGACAUUGAGGACAAUGUCUUAUUUUGGUUGGGGGGAAAGGGUAGUAGUUGAUAAUUAAAAAAAAAAAUUGUGUUUUCUAUUUCAUAAACUAUUUGCAAAACUGUUGUUACUAGGAUGGCAGAGUAAAAGGAGUUCUUUUGUUAAAGUGACUCUUGAGACGCAUCUUAGUAAACAUUCUUAACAGGUCUAUCAGAAUACUUCUUGAAAUAUUCAGGUUUACAAACUCUCGUAUUGGUAGCACUUGAUUCUGCUCAUAUGCUCAUUUAACAAGUAUUUUUAAAUCUUCAUUUUCACACACACACUUUAACAUAUGAUUGUGGGUUGCACAUUGGAUUAUUACAUUAUUUAUGUUCUUUUGUUAAAGGUAACAACUAAGGGAAAGGGAUAGUACAUAAUUUGCAAAAAAAAAAAAUGAUAAUAAAAAGGUAGAUAAGUUUGGUUUCGUAGCCUCCCUAACCUAAGCAAUUAAGCCCGAAGGGGUGUUUUAACACUUAAUACCCUAAAGUCAACUGACUUGGGAGCUAUUGGCCCAACGCUUGUUACAUGGGUUGAGGAGAAAAGCUUAAGGGAAUCAAACAUUGCACUAUCUACGUAUCAGUAUCUGCAACCCGAGUUGCUAAGCUCGUAGGGGUGUCUCAACACCUAAUGCCCUAAGACCAACUGGUCUGGGAGUCAUUAGCCUAAAACUCGUUACAUGGGUUAAAGACAUUGUGUUUCAAGUUUAUGUGUAUAUAAAUAAAUAAAUAAAAUAAAAAAAAUAAUAAUCCAACCAAGGAAGUUACCUUAAACAUUAGAACAAAAAUUUGUUUUUCUUCCAAGUAAAGCCCCAUAACUAUAUGUUGAUAUUUUGAGCAAAAAGAAAGGUUUAGUAAUAUCUUGUUUAAGAGGUAUUGAGCAGAUAUAUGAAUUUAAUGAGAGUUUGUUUAUCUGGAUAAUUAAAGUAAGUUGAAUGAUGAAUGCCUUGCUUUAUGGAAUUUGCAAAUUGUUUUUCUAUUUUAACGCUUUGAUUACUAGGGACUAGUAAUAAGCUGGUUGGGGGGUGUGAUUAGUACUUAAAAGUUAUUUAUCAAGGUUUUAUAUCAUCAUUUUGCACUUAAAGUAUCAAUAACUCCUUAACUAAAGCAUGUUUUAUAAUAACAAGUCUAAUACUAUAAAAUUAAUAUAUGGUAAAUGUUCAUCUUAAAUGCAUAUCACAUAAAUCAAAGGAUUGAUUGAUGAAUUCAACUACUGAAAUUUUGAAGAUAAAGAGAGGGUGAAACUUAGAAAAGAGAUGUUGGUGCAGUCCAAACUGGAACACUGUUCGGUAAUUGGGUCAUAUCUCGAGUUCUAGAUGUCCAAAUGAUUAUUUUACAAGAUUCAGUAAGACAUAGGCCUACAACUUUCAUGUUUUCAUCAAGAUCUAAGAAGGCCGUUUUCAAGUCCAAAUUAUAGCAACAACGGAGAAGUUGAAUCUGUCCUGCAGCCCAACACUGUUUCAUAUUGGAGUUCUAGAAGUCCAAAUGACCUCCAUUUUUUUUCCUGGAAAUGAGUCAAUUUCCUACAACUUUCAUGUUUCAAGUGGACCCAGUUCGGAUGCUAGCAUUUUUGUUUUAUUCAGACAAGAAGAUAAGGAUUUUCACCAAGUCAAAAGUUGGCCACCCACUCAACAAUUAGUCAUCAAAUCAAUAAUUCCGAAUUUUGGCCUAUAAAAGGAGGCAUUUGCCAUGUAUUUGGGGCUUGGUUGUUCAGAUCAAGCUCAUGCUCUUUAUUCUUUCUCUUUAUAUUUUUUGUAAUUUUAAGUUUUGCUUUCAUUAAUAUCUUGUUUAUGCUUUUCAUUUCCUUUCCUUUACUUAGUUAACUUGUAUUCUUUAUGUUCUUGUUUUGUUUAUUUAUGUUUCUCUUCUUCAUUAUGUUUAGCUAAGUUUAUUAUGUCAAGGUGAAAAGGUUACACUAAUGGUGUAAGAAUAAAUAUAGUGUAAACUCAACAUGGAUCUUAAUGUUUAAUAUUAACAUGUCUUAUCUUUUUAUCUUACUAAUUCUUAAUACCUUGCUUGUUAAAUGGUUAAUCUAGAUUUGUGUUGUAUAACACUUGGUACCAAAUGCUUGGCACUCUCAUAGCCCAACGUAUGGUAUUACCUACACCUGGGCUAUGAAAGGAACUUGAUUUGUUGUUAACAUCAGUUAAUAUCAUGAAUUCCUGACAAUAUUUAAAAGUUUGGUGUUAUGUAAAUAAGAUAAUUAAUAUGAUCAUGUUAAUAAUUUAUAAUGAGCUAUUAAUGAGAAUCAUCACCGAUUGGAACCUCCUUUGUGUGUGGUUUCCAAAUUGAGUAAUAAGAGUUUAUACUAUACUUGUUUGAAAUACUAUUGGUGGAUCCUCUAACCUUGACAUUUGUUUUUAUCAUUGUUUAAUCCUUACAUUAAUCUUCCAUCUCAAAGUUCUCAUUAAUUUCUUCCUCCUCUUAUUAUUAUUAUUAUUAUUUACAUUCUAUUUAUAUUAUAUAAUUUAUCUCUUUGAUCUUUUCAUAAACUCAGUAUAUAGGCUGGAAACCUGUGACCCGAUCUUUUAGAUCAUUCUCAAGUAUAACAACGCCACAUACUGAGUAUUAUUAUUAUUGUUAUUGUUAUUAUUGUUGUUGUUGUUGUUGUCUUGUUAUUUAUAAUUUAUACAAUUAAUCUCUCUGUGGUUCGACCCCGGUCUUGCCGGGUUAUUUAUUACUUCGACACUCCUACACUUGGGAGAAGACAUCAAUCUUUUUGUCGUGUCAUAGUGUUGAAAUGUAUGAGCCUAAUCUUGAGGAUUUUAGUGACCUAGAUGACAAGGGUGUGCAAGAAGAGAUACUUAAUAUAAUGAGUCCACGUGAGCUUGAGAAUGAUGUUAGGGAAGUGUCUGAUAAAUCUGCUUUAAUGGUAGAGGAAGUUUUAGGGAACUCUUUAGUGGAAUCGCCUAUAGAGAUAAAUAUGGUCUUAGAAGAGUCUCAUGAUAUUAGUUCUCCUAAACUACCUGAUUCCUCACCCCACAUGAUUGAUGUCCAGCACAUCAUAAGUUUAGAACAACAUGUUGAGCUUUCUGACCCCUUACCUCAUGCACAUGAUAAAGAAGAUGAAGAUAAUCUCAGUUUACUUGAUUGUGUCCAUACCAUGUCUACACAUGUUUCAAACAAUGUUUGUCUCAUUCCACACCCUCGAUCAUUUAAUAUUCAUAGUUAUAAACCCUGAGAAGCCUAUAGAACACCUUCCCAUAUCUUCUCAUGAUAAGAUGUCCAAGUCAAUUGAGUCGUUACCAUGCGGAGUUCAUAAUUUGCAUGUUGAGAUCAUGAAUCAAAUUCAAGCAAGUAAUGAAUAAUAUAAAUUUUGAGCUGAUUUACUUAAGUAUCAUGAUGCAUUUAAUGUUGGAGAUUAUUUCAUGAUACAGAUUAGACCUAAACGGUGUCCUUUGAAAACCGAUCAUAGAUUGCAAGUAAGUAGUGCUAGACCAUUCAAAGUGUUACAAAUGAUUGAAUCAAAUAAUUAUGUCAUUAAAUUGCCAUUAAACUUUGAUAUUAACUCUACUUUUAACAUGAAUGACUUCAUUAUUUAUAAAAUACAACAUAUCCUUGUUGCUCCUUUUGAUACCCCUACCUCAUUAUCCAUAUCUUUGGCACAAAGGGAACAUAUUAAUGUUACUUUGAAUGCACAGGUUGUUUUUACCAGGGAUAAUGAACUUCAACAAAUCCCAGUAUAUGGGCUCGACAACCAGAUUCAGACUAUACUUGGAUUAUCAAAGAGACAUCAUAACAACUUGAUCCUUAUCUUUGAGAGCAUUAUCGGAGCUACCUUGAUCCUAUACUCGAUAGGGUCAAGUUCUUCCAACCUAAGAGAAUUGAUAAGGACACCAAACCGGAAACAUUGGUUACGCACGCGUAUGAUCAUAGACGAUGGAGAAUAGCCCAAACUAUUGAGAAAUUAGGCUUUAACUUAUGUUUUUGGGUUUAAUUUAUAUGAAUUUUUAGUUAAGAUUUAUUAAUUUGGUUUUAUUUAUUGGGUUUAAUUUAAUUAUUGUUGGGUAUUUUACUUAGUGGACCAUAAGUCUAAACGCUUGUUUUAGUUAGGGUUUUAGUAUUUAUAUCUUACUUUUCUAAAUAUUAGAUAAUUUUUUAUGAUUAAUAAAAAUAUUGUAAACUUUGUAUAUCUUCAAUCCAUUUUCUUCUCUUCUUUAAUUUCUUUCUUUCUCUAAAGCUUCUCUCUUUUCUUGCUUUAAUCCUUAUUAUUUAUUGUCCCGUGUCAUUUGUUACUCAAGACUUAAACUCUGUGGGAUAAUGCAUUUGUAAUUUUAUUUUCUUAUGUAUAUGUAGUUUAAUAUGACCAUUGAUAGCUCUGAUUGUUCAUAGUUCAUUUUGUCAUCAGUUAAAGUCUCAAAAAUAUGUUCAUAGUUCAUAGUUCAUAGUUCAUAGUUUUAGUAGUUUUGUGGGUUAAUUUUCAUGUAUUUAAUUUAAAUCUAGUCCAAACCAAGGUCACUGGAUCAAGGUUUUAAGAAAGAGUAUUUCUUUCCUCUUUCGUUUUUCCGCUCAAGGUUGGAUGGAGGCCAGAAAUGAGAUGCAAGCUCACAUCAUGAAAAUGGGUCAAAAUUCAAAAACAUUCUAUCAAGUUGCCUAAGCCUGGGCCAAUCCUGUUCUUGAUGCUCGGGCAAUAAUAGUCAUAUUGAUGGGGACGACGACUUGACCUUUAAGUCUUCCUUGAAAUUACGUGUUUCCUUUUUCCUUAUAUAUAUAUAUGUAUGUAUGUAUGUAUGUAUGUAUAAAAGGAAAAAGGAAAAGGCAUCUAUGUAAAAGGCAUCUAUGUAAAAGGCAUCUGUGUGUGUGUAAAGGAAAAAGGAAAAGAGAAGUGUUUAGUGAAAACAAAGACAAGAAAUUCGAAAUUUCCAGGAAAAUUAUAAAAGAAUUUGAAGUAAAAAAUUAAUAGACUAAAGAAUGAUGUUGGACAGAAGUGUUUAGUGUUUUAAAAAAAUAUAUAAUAAAAAAGUUAAAGAGAAAAUAACAAGAAUAUAUAAUAAAAAGUGUUUAGUGCUUUUGAUUUUUAAAAAUUAUUUUUAUAUCAGUAAAUUAAAAAAAAAAACUAAAAAAAUUCAAAAUUUACAAAAACGAAUUUCCAGGAAAUCAACAAUGUGCAAUCUUGUAAUGUUCUAAGAAAAUUCUUGGAUUUGAUGCCUAUAAAUUAUACAUAUGCCUAAGGCAGGGUCUUAAACACGUAAAGCCUAAGCUAUUGCUUCAAAAUCAGCCUCAUCUUUUUUCCUUGAGUUACUUCCGCUCUCUCCCUCCAUGCCUACCUUACCACCAGAGUCUAAUUACUCUUGUUUCUUCGACUGUUUCUCCACAAAACAAUAUGAUGUCUCCAUCACCAUCUACUCCUUCCACCUUAACCACCGCCCAGCCACAAGGAAUUAAACAUGAUGUCUUCCUUAGUUUCAGCGAACAAGACACUCUUGCUGGUUUUACCAGCCACCUCCAUGCUGCUUUGAAACGGAAACAAAUCCUAACUUUCGUAGAUGAUCAGCAUGUGAGAGGAGAUGAGAUUUCGGCAUCACUUCUGAGAACAAUUGAAGAGGCCAAGCUUUCUGUGAUUGUUUUUUCUGAAAACUAUGCAUCUUCCAAAUGGUGCUUGGAGGAGCUUGCAAAGAUUUUUGAGUGUAGAAAAAACAAUGGACAGAUAGUUAUUCCGGUAUUCUACAAGGUGGAUCCAUCCCAUGUAAGAAAUCAAACAGGAAGCUUUGGGGAUGCAUUUGCUAGACUUAUAAGGAAUAAAGCUCUGACGUUGGAAGAAGUGCAGAGCUUCAGAGACGCUUUGACGGAUGCAGCCAAUCUAUCUGGAUGUCCCUUAUUAGGGAAUUCUGAGUAAGCUCUUGAAAUAUAUCCCAUGAGAAAAUAUUCGUUCAUUUGUUGAGGAUUUGAAAUUUAAUUUAAAAUUAUUGAGAAAGAUGAGCUCUGUGAAUCCAUAUUUAUUUUAUUUGAUUUUAAAAACGUUGUAGCGAAACACUAUUACGUGGUUGGUUGUUCUGUGUAUUAAAAUGUUUUUUAAAAAAAAAUUAAUUUUUUUUAGUGUUUUUAAAUUAUUUUGAUAUGUUUAUAUUAAAAAAUAUUUUUAAAAAAUAAAAAAUAUAUAUAUUAUUUGUUGCGAAAUGUUUGUAUAGAUAUUAAGUGGUUAUUUGUUUUUGUGUUUUUAAACAAAAAAUAUAUAUUAAAAUUUUUAAAAAACAAUUUAGUGUUUUUAGAUUAUUUUGAUGUGUUUAUAUUAAAAAAAUAUUUUAAAAAGUAAAAAAAUAUUAUUUGUAGCGAAAUGUUUGUAUAUUAUUUGUUUUUGUGUUUUAAAAUAAUAUUGAUGGAGAUGAUACUAUAAGAUAAGAUGAUAUGAGAAAACAUUAUAUGCAUUUGCAUUUCCAGUUUCAAGGAUUGAUUAAUGAUGCUCAAUUACUCAUACGUGCCUGCACUAAGGAGUGAGUAUGUUUAUAUGUUUCUUCUUGUCCGGUCCAUUUUGACUAACAAUUAUGUGUCUUCUUCUUGUUUGUCAGGCUGGAGUCUGAAUUUAUUGAGAAAAUCGUUGGUGAUGUUUUGAAAAAAUUGCAUGCCAUGCCUUCAAGUCACACCAUGGCCGGUCUAUUUGGAAUUGAUGUUCGUGUUAGCGAAGUUGAGUCUUUGUUAGAUAUGGAGUCUCCAAAUGUUCUCAUUGUAGGGAUAUGGGGAAUGGGUGGUAUCGGUAAGACAACGAUUGCUGAAGCUGUGACCAACGAGGUUCGUUCUAGAUUUGAUCAAGGAAUCUUUGUUGCAAACUUUAGGCAACAAUCUGAUUUGCAAAAAGAUUUCUUCAGGCUGCUUGGCCAAGAAACUCUGAACACUAUGGGCUCCUUGAGUUUUCGAGAUUCUUUUGUGAGGGAUAGACUUCGUCGAAAAGGUUUUUAUUGUUCUGGAUGAUGUGGAUGAUUUAAUGCUUUUGGAAGAAUGGAAGAUUUGCUUGAUGGACGAAACAGUUCAUUUGGUCCGGGCAGUAAAGUUCUCAUAACAAGUAGGGACAAGCAAGUGCUUAUAAUGUAGUUGAUGAGACAUACGAGGUUGAGGGGUUGAACGAUGAAGAAGCUAUUCAACUCUUUAGCUCAAAGCCUUGAAGAAUUGCAUCCCCACAAUUGAUCAAAGAGACUUGAUAGAAAGAUUGCAAGGCAUGUACAAGGCAAUCCGUUGGCUCUUAAGUUUUGGGUUCCUCUCUCUAUGGUAAAAGCAUCGAAGAAUGGCGCAGUGCAUUGAAUAAACUAGCUCAGCACCCUCAAAUCGAAAGGGCGUUGAGAAUUAGUUACGAUGGGUUGGAUUCAGAACAAAAAUCCAUAUUUCUUGACAUAGCACAUUUCUUCAAGGAUGGGGCAGACAAAGCAACAAGAAUAUUAGAUGGCUUUAUGGUCGGUCUGUGAGUUCGAUAUAAGCACGCUCAUUGAUAAGUGUCUCAUAACUACUGUAAUGAAUGUACGAGCUAGAAAUGCAUGAUUUACUACAAGAAAUGGCAUUUAACAUUGUUCGUGCAGAAUCUGAUUUUCCUGGCGAACGUAGCAGGUUAUGUCAUCCUCCUGAUGUCGUUCAAGUAUUGGAGGAAAAUAAGGUUAAAGCUAGUGCCAUUAACUGUCGUUCAUGUAUUUGCUCAAAAGUUGAUGUGUUUGAGUAGAUUGUAUUUAUGUUUGUUUAUUCUUUUUUCUUGUUUAACAGGGAACUCGAAAAAUUAAAGGCAUAUCUUUGGACUUGUCCGUGUUUCCGAGACACAUACUCUUGAAAUCUGAUGCCUUCGCAAUGAUGGAUGGUCUUCGAUUUCUCAGUAUCAAUCAUUCCUCCGAAGUUGAUAAAAUGCAGCUUCCUCCUACUGGCCUCGAGUAUCUUCCUAAUGAGCUGAGAUAUUUGCGAUGGGAUGGAUUCCCUUCGAAAUCCUUGCCGCCAUCUUUUCGUGCUGAACACCUUGUCGAGCUUCACCUACGCGGAAGCAAGCUUGAAAAACUUUGGACAGGAGUAAAGGUAUGAUUUAAUUGCUGCAUAUUUAUGAUAAAAAAUAUAAAGCUGGAGGUGCUAACUUUCUAAUUAUACCUUUUUCUGGUGACAGGAUAUUGGAAAUUUAAGAACAAUCAACCUAUCUGACUCUCCAUAUUUGACAGAAUUGCCAGAUCUAUCAGUGGCCAAAAAUUUAGAGUGCUGUAAUUUUAGAUCCCUGACACGUUUCAAAAUCGUUUUUGAAAAAAAUUGAAAAUUUUUUAUUUUUUAUUUUUUGUUUUAAAUUAAUAUUUUUAAAAUGUUUUCAAAUUAGUUUUAAUGUAUUUUUAAAUAAAAAAAUAUUUUUAAAAGCAACCACAACCAUACUUUUAAAAGCCUUGAAACUAAAGGGCUGUCCAAGUCUAACCGAGGUUCCGUAAUCUAAGUGGAAGUGCUGUCAAAGAGGUGUCCUCAUCAAUCCAGUUUCUCGCAAGACUCCGCGAAUUGGGAAGAUCUGUUUUAUCCCUUUCAAUCUCUUUUGUUUCUCCCUCAAUUUAUUUUCUUCUGAACUUUUGUUUGUUAAGGAAGAUCUGUGUCCGCCGGUAGAUUUUCAUCAAAGUGCAGAUACACCCCCACAGCUUUUCAACUCGACAGGCCUUCCGCUCUCACGAUGUCUCCACCUUCCCCGGUAGAAUUUAAAUGUAACUUCAUUGCCAGAAAAUUUACAUAAAUGAUUUGCCAAUUCGAGCUCGUAGUGUAGAAUCAUGUGAUCUGAGUCACAUGUCUUCAAGGAAUAUGAUGGAGCACGUCUUUCCCGGGAAGCGAAGACGACUUCAUCAUCACCAUCAUGCUCACCGUUUUUACUCUUAACAUGGUAAUCACAAUAUACAUGAACAUCAGAACGAUCAUCGAAUUCAUAAAGCAUGUCAUGGGAGGGAAGGAGUAGAUAGACAAGGCAGAAAGCAAUUCCCUUGAGCUGAUGACAAUUUGAGGGCAACUGUAUGGUGACUGAAGAUCCAAUUUCUGUCACCGAACCAUUCUGGAAUUUCACUCCCCGGUAGAACCAUAGUUUUAGAAAAUGAUCAAAAUAGGUCAUGGCUUGGGAUUGAAUGUUUGAUUUUUAAGUUAAAUAAAAAAUAAUUUCAAAAAAAACAAAGUUAUUAAAUCUAAUACAACAUAUAACUCAAAUCACGAAAUUACUUGGGAUUGAAUACUCACGCGUGAAUGUACAUGCUUCCAACCAUAUAGCUUCAAUUAUUAUGCUAUAACAUGCUUCAGCUAAGCAAGAAGCCAGCUUGAAGCUAUUCAUUCCUUGUGCUGUCAGUCAUCAUUCUUGCAAAUCACAAAUGUUUCAUGCCAAGAAGAGCCUUCUUAUCAAUUUAGUGCUCCAAACACAUGUCCUGGGAAACGUUACAGCUCUUUCAUAAUUAGGUAGCGAGAAAAAUCCAGAACUUUGAGGUUGAGUUUUUUGUACAAGAAAUAUACUAGAUGUGACUGUACCGUAUUUAUUUCUUUCUUUUUUCAGACUCUGCAGAAACUAAUCAACACUUCAUGUUCAGGGGAUGAAGAAGAGCCUCAUCCUCAUUCCUUCUCUGCAAUUACCACGAAUACAUCUUUCAGUGACCACCUACGUCUCUCACUUUUGGCAGGCGGAUUGAUAACAGCCUUUUCAGCAUUAGCUGCACGGUAACCAAUGACUAUCUCUCUUCUCUGUCGUGCGCGUAAUAGUACUUCAUAGAAACUCAAUUCCUCGCCUUCACUGAGGUAAAGAUCUGCUUGCCUUAUUUGUAGCUCAUUUCCCUGAUGAAGGCAAAAUGUUUGUGAAUGAUGAGUUUAACUGAUUAAAGGAUCUUAAAUUCCAACAUCAUCAAUAGCAACAAUUUCACUAAUACAACAAAGGAAUCACUCUGAUCAAUGCUCGAGGGUUGUUCUAAGCAGGAAAGAGAGAACAUGCUAGCAAACCCUUUGCUGUUGUGGUCCAACAUAUUAACUAGCUUAAUUUAUCACAACCAUAAUGAUUAUUUGGAUGCAGGGCUCACGCUAGGCUACUUUCUCAAUAUAAGAAGCAGGGCAUCAAAGUCAUUAUAAUAUAUGAUUUAAAGGAGUGACCAACUAAAUGCACUAGGGAACGAAGGUAAUGAUCACCUGAUGUGUUUAAGAUUUCAUCCUUUUCAGCAUUAGCUAGCAAAGUUUCAUGGGCUCUAUGCAGAUGGCCUUUUGUGUGUGUGUGUGUGUGUGUGUGUGUGAGAGAGAGAGAGAGGAUUUAACGUGAUUGUUAAAAGUGCUUUCAAUAUCUUCCCUCAAGAGUUGGGCAAAAAACUAGAGCAAUCCUGUAAAAACAUCGCAUGAUAGUACUUGUCAAACUACCUCCACUGAGAACUUUCCAAUUUCUGCUGAAUAGGAAAGCUAUAGUAAGUACCUCAUUUGUUUCUUUUAACCUUUACAUAUGUUCCGAAUUAAACAUAUAGAUAAGGUACUGACAGGCAAAUUAUGAGAAAAGAAAACAUUGCAUUCACUUGUUGGAAUUUUAUAUUGCAAUUUUGUAAGCCCACUUCGCCCUUCAAAAUUUGGUUUUCCAUAGAGUGCAAUACGAUCUCAGAAUUUAACAGAAGUGAGACAAAAGAAUACCUCAUCUGCAAAGAGCUCUUCUAAUACAUCAUUUAUUUGUUGAUCUUCUGCAACCAUGGCCAAUGCCAUGCUGACAAGUUCAUUUGAUAAAACAUAAUCACAAUGCAUCCAAAUAAUUUGGCAGAUGCCUUUAUACACACACGUGGUAUAUGCUCCACAACAUAUUAAUAAUAAUAUUUUUUUGAAAUAGAAAAAAUAUAAAGAAUAAAGAAAAUAUAUUAAAUGUUUUGAAUUUGAUAACAACCUAAUUUUAUGUGGUCCUGAUAAAAAUAUGACCGAAUGGUAUUGGGUCUAAUGGAGAUAGAACCCAACAUUAUUGAACUUUUAUGCAUGAUAAGACGCAUGAAAACUGAAAUCAUUGCUUUGUCUAUAAAAAUAAUAAUAAUAAACUAACAGAUUAGUAGUUUAUUGUACAUCAAAGACACAUAUAACUGUGGAUUAAAAUAAUUACGUCACUAUUUUGCUCUUUUAAAAUAAAAUCAUUUAAUCAGUUAUUAAAAACAAUAUAUUUUUUAUGUUAUCCAUUUAUUAUAACCGUAUUAAAUGAAGAAUGAAGAUAAAUAAGUUUUUAAACAUUUUAAAAAUACAAUGAAAUAACUUAAAUAUCUUUAAAAAUAAAAUUUUUAAAAUUAGGAUCCAUAAGUGUUUCGGUCUUUUAACAUUUUGAUAGUAUAGUGAAAUAACUAUAUUGCUCUUAAAUGUCAAAAAAAAUAAAAUUGAUGUUUAUGGUUUUUUUGUAUUUUUUUCAUGGCUUCUUAGUUAUAAUCAAUGUGAAUUAGGGACAUUUUGGUCUUUUAAAAAUAUAAAUAUAAUUAAAAAAUAAAAAGUGGUUUAUGUUGGUGUCUGAGAGAUGCCUGCACUCUUUGGGCAGCGUAUGCAACAUCUAUCAGCGGACAACCACUGCCUUUUAUGACGGCGUUGAAAGCAUCACAAUAUCAUUUUUCUAGUGGUCAGGUAUGUUUGCAUGGCUUUUUUUCAUUUUUUCUCUCUCUUAACCUCAAAUUUCAUGUUAGCUCUUUCAAAAAUUUAAUGUGUCUUUUUUUUCUUAUUAUUUUAAUUAAUAUUUAUUUUGCUUGAAAUGCAUUUUAAAGUUGAUUUUUUCUUCAAUUUUUUCUUUUAACAUUUUAUUUCUUGUCCUCUUUCAAACAAUAGAGUUAGGUUCUCUUUAUGGUAUAAAUAAUGUUUUUUUUUAUUUUUUCAGUUUGUUUUAAUGUGUUGUUGUAAAAAAGUAUUUUUUUUAAAUAAAAAAUACUUUAAAAAACAAUUAUUAUUUGCUUUCAUAUUAUAUUAUAGUGGUUAUGAUGAUUUGAUUGAGAAGAAUUUGUUAGACAACUAAUUUGAUAUUGUAUUUAUAGUUAUUUUUUAAAAUACUUUUUAUUUAGAAAUCUAUUAAAAUAAUAUUUUUUUAUUUUUUAAAAUUAAUUUCAUAUUAUAACAUCAAAAUAUGUUCUCAUGUACAAAGGGUGCACAUUGUUGAUUCCUGGGAAUUUAUUAUGUACAAAAAGCUUUGGUUUGUUUUGAUGUGUUGCUAUAAAAAGUGAUUUUUUUAAAAAUAAAUAAAAUAAUACAUUGAUAUAUUUUUAAUUAAAAAACACUUUAAAAAAUAAUUAUUAUAACACUCAUAAACACUUUAAAAAUGUUUGUGUGUGCGGGUAAUAUUUUUGCUUUCAUGUUAUAUUAUAAUGAUUAUAAUGAUGAGAAGAACUUCUUAGUGAACCUAUAUCGUAUUGUAGUAAUAUUUAUUUUUUAAAGUUUUUUUUAAAUGAAAAUAUAUUAAAAUAAUAAUUUUUUUAUUUUUAAAAUUUUAUUUUUGAUAUUAAUACAUCAAAAUAAUAUAAAAACAAAAAAAAAUUAAUUAAAAAUAAUUCCUAAAAAUAUUCCAUGUACAAAUGCUUCAUGUCUUGAUAUUUGUUUUUUUAUUAUUUGGUAGGGAAGGACAUCAAGUCUUCGAUCAAAGUGUUUGCUCGUACUGAGUACUCUGUUGACUUCACAUUAUAUUAUAAGGGUUAUUAUUAUUUCAAUGGGAAGAACUUGUUAUGCAUAACUUGUGAACCUGUAUAAAGUGUUGCGUGGAUAUCGCCGGCGAGAAGGAAAAGAUUAGCCAGCGGAGAUAAAAUUGUUGAUCUCUUGAGCUGGUCAAAUACCAUGUCAAAUCUCUUCCAAGGUUUAUCUGGACAUGGAUGAUUCCAGGUUGUAGUUCUAGUGUUGUGAUCAAUAUAAUACGUUUUCCCUGUUGCUGCGUCAGAUCGCCUCUCCCAGCCUGGUGGCAAUGGAGCAGCAUAUGCAUCACCAUAGUUAUUGACUGACUGAUAUAUAACAGUAAGCCAAAUCACUAUCAAGUGAUAUGGCCAACCUCCUGCGUUACUCCACAAAACAUUGCGGAGCACCAAAAUAACUAGCAGCAUUCCAAGGAAUCUGGAAAAAUUAAAACGAAUGACUCCAUUUUGAUGUGAUCUUAUGCAGAAAGCACCAGCAAAAUCAUCGGUGUAGAUGAUUUCACCCCUGCAAUCCUAUUUUUUAAGUCAUAAAUACAUGACAUGCUAUAAAAAUAAAAUAAAUUAAAACUUUUAUCCUUUUAAUUUAACUAAGAAAAUCAUCCUACAACUAUUUUACAGUUAUUUAAAGCAAAUUACAAUAUGAUUAAUUAAUAGAAACAAUGAUUUUUUUAAUUAAUAGAAACAAUUAAAACUAGGACUGAGCAUUUUCGGUGACAAUUUAAUUAUAUUUUUUCCCUUCUAAAAAAAUAACUGUAAACUCUUUAUCUUCUAUGCAGUCGAAUUCCGCCUCAUAGUCAUCACGAGUUUUAGAAUUUCACAAGGUAGAAUUUUAUCUUUUUAAUUUUUUUAAAAUUUUAUUUUUUAAUAUUUAAGUUUUUAAAAAUUCAUCUUCAUAUAUAUUUUACCUUUUAUUUUAAAUUUUAUUUUCUUUUGGAAUCAAAUAUCUCAAUCCUAGUUACUUAUCUAUUAAUCAAGUAUUGAUCUAUUUAUUUUAAUGCACAUAUAUAAGUAUUUUAAUUUAUAAUUAAAAAAAUACCUAUUUAUUUAUUUUUCUAUUAAAAAAAAACUAAUUCAAAAUAAAAUGAAAGGCAAAUAUCUAAUUGUUUUAUAAAAUAAUAUUAUUUUAGUUUGAAAAAAAAAAAACUAAACUAAAACCACUUUGUUUUGAAAUUGGCUUUGCUCAAUCGGCUAAUCAGCGAAUCGGGUUUUGGAUUCGAUCAGACCCCGGACCUGUAUGAAAUCUAUGGUCGGUCCCCACCUGAAGAAACGAGAGGCAGAGAGAAACCAAAGAGAUGAGCUAACGGCAUCGACAAGCCACACGAUUCGAUUCUCUACCAUGAUAUAUAUAUAUAUAUAUAUAUAUAUAUAUAUAUAUAUUGUUUCCUUUGACAAGUCGCAGCACAAAUUCCAAUACCCAUUUUCAGUUUCCUAGAUUUUGAGUAAGUUUUUGAAGUGGGUGGUUUGAUUUAGCUUAGCUUACCGUGUUGUAAAUUGUCAUCUUUUUUGUUGAAUGCUGUACUUGGACGUCACUUUUUGUAGUAUCAUGGUGUUAGUGAUUGUAUUGUGAGGAACCCAGUUGGGGAAUUGGUUUAUUUGUUCUGAAUCCACUCCGGUUUGGUUUGUUUUAGCUUAGUGUGUUUUACUUACUUGUGAGUUAUACACUUGAAUAUGUUGUUUUGUGGAACGAGUUCUUUGUUUUUCAUGAUUUUGUUUAAAAAUGGAGCUCAAGCUUGAGUUUCUAGAAGCCAACUUCAGGAGCGUUCAUCUUGGUAUAAUGAAUUGAAGCGAUCAUGGUUCAGUUUUGCUUAUUUUGAUCCAUUUCUCACUUGUCUUUCAUAGUUUUGAUCCACAUUGAUGCCAUUUGUUUUCACUAUUCGAGAAAGAGGUUACUUUUUUUUUUUCAAGGAAUCCUCUUAUAAGUUGAUUGCUUGUCAGAAAUGGAAAUAACCCUUAUUCAACUUAGCUUGGUUUAAUUACUGCUCUUUUUUUCAUGGGCGAAUUUAGAGAUUGAACUGCAUUUUAAUUGUAAAGUAUUACUUUCAUGCAGAACAUGGAAGCUUGGUGAUUUUGAUAAGGUUUAUAUUGAGUUAACAAAAGAUGUUGCCUGUUUGCUUUGCCACUCAGUGUUGUUCCUCUCAUUCUCAGGUGAGUUUCACUUCCUAGACUGUAAUUUAAUUCGUGUUGUUGCCAAGUUUCUAUCAUCCCUGUACCUUGAAUUUCAUCUAUGCCCUUAGUUUUAGAGAUACAUGGCCUCUAAUUAGGUGGAGAACAAGCCGGGACUAUAAUUGAACUUUCGCUAAAGAGAGAAAUUCUGGUGUCAAAAAAUAAAAGAAAAAAUAUUAGUGUAACUAGACAUGUCUGCCUCUUUAUAAAAUAUGUUUGAUGUAUUUGAGUUGAAAAAUCUGGGGUGCCUAAGUGAAGGUUUUGAAUGAAGGUAUAAAUUAAUCUUCAACUGUUUAAGUAUAAAGGUCAGUAUGACAUCAUGUAGAGCUUAUGUGCCCAAGUGAAGGUUUUGAAUUGAUUCUCAUGCUCUAACAUGGUAUCAUCGUCCAGUUAGCUUUCUCCUUCCUUCUAGGCCUACACAUCAGAGGGAUGCUGAGUAAAUCCCUUAACAACCUAGCAGAAAGUUUUGCAUGGCCUAAUAAUCUGCUUGUACAUCUCCGUUUAGUAGUUUAAGCAUCUGGGUGUGAUUCCCUAGCACCAACUUCCUUCUCAUGUGCAGUGGAUUAUGAUGGCAUUUUCUCUCCGCUUAAGAGUGUGUUUAGCAUUGCUGUCAAAACACCGUUUGCUAAAAAUAUAAUUCUUUUUUCUUAAAAAAUUUUUUUGUUGUUUUUGAACCGUUUUGAUGUGUUGAUGUCAAAAAUGUAUUUUAAAAAAUAAAGAAAACAUUAUUUUGAUGUGUUUUCGAACGAAAAACACUUUGAAAGUAACCGCUACCGCAAUGUCAAACACGCUCUUAAUCUGAUUACUUACAUCAGAAUAUAAAAUUAAGAUAUGAGGUAUGUGAGACUCUUCAAUAUACAAAUUCCUUGUCCACCUUUAAAGAACAGAAUUUGACAAUUUUCAGUGAAGCCUUGCAGGUAGUAACUUCCAUGCACAUCGGUUAUCAAUUCACCAAGUUUUGUUUUAUCAUGUCACAUCUUUCUUCAUAUACCUCUGGCAUAGUAUUUCUAUUGUCAAAAAUUUCAUUCAUGUAUUUGAAACCACAACUAUUGCAGAUAACAUUCCAAUGAGGUCUGCGACCAUUUUGCUCAGUCUGGAAGGAUUUCGAGUCCAGAUGUUAUGUCGUAGACAGGGUACUUUUGGGAAUGUCAAAUAUAACUCAUCACCAAAGAAUUUCCUUCAAAACACAAGCUAUAAAGUCUUUCUACUCCAAUUUUAUUGAAAGCUUUGCUUUCAUUAAUGAUCAUUCUUGCCCAAAUGAACUAGGCAACAUUAAUUGCACCCACACCCUAUGGGAGAGGGUAAACUGAAAUUCUUAGAAAGUUAUAACAUAUCUGAUGUUGAAAAAGGACAUUUGAACUCUGCAGACCAGUUUGUUGAUAAUACAGAUAGUUUAAUAUGACUUGUGGAACUUGAAAUAACAUCAACUAUUGAUAUGACACCAGAGAAUCCCAGUUUGGGAUCUGAUUCCCUGGAAAUGGAUAACGAUUCAUUAUCUAGUGCAAAGGCUGCUUUUGAUUAUUUUUUGGGCGAGGUUAGGGACUCCAUCAACACUUCAAUAAAUAAUGGAGGAAAUGUUGUGCAAAGCUCACUAGACACAAUUACUUCUUCAAUAAUAUUGUUUAAGGAAAGUGCUUCAGAAGCAGUAGAUGGUGCCUUGAGUAAAGUAUUCUCUACUUUUGAUCAAACAGGAGAAUUAGCUGGCGAUAGAUUGACUAACUUUUCAUCUGGUUUGAGGGAAGCCACACAAAAUGCUACUGGCACUUCUAUUGAUGUGCUCAGAGUUGCAAUCGCUGCAGUGGAGGAAUCUAUAGCAAAAGGGGCUUCUUUUAUUGUUUAUUCUUAUGGGCCUGCCAAGGAUUUGCUUCCUCCAAAGAUCAGAGGCGUGCUGAAUCUGUCUGAAGAAAGGAUAACACAGAUUUUGAGGCCAAUUGGUGCAACUUUUCAACAUGUACAUUAUGCUUGGCACGUUUUACUUUGAUGGCUGUUGUACUCUCAUUUAAUUGUAUGGACUUGAAAAAAAAAAAAAAAAUCUCCUGCAAAGAUAUAUUUGGAUUAUUUUAGAAAUCUUUUUGUUGGAGACAUCAGUCACUGCUUUCAGCUUACAGGACUUCUAGUUGAAAACUCAAUUACGUCCAUCUCUGUUACAUUGCUUAAUUAUGUGUUGAUCUAACUAAUUUAUGAUCCAAAACCAAAGCUGAAUUUCCUAAACCUGCUUUUACACCUUAAGCAGGUUUACAUUGCUAUUGAGGGGCUGGAGAAAAGGCUUGGCUUGGAUCCAAAUGAUCCAGUUGUGCCUUUUGUUCUUUUCCUUGGAACCUCAACCACUUUGUGGUAUGGAUGUCCUUUUGUGCAUAAAGAUUUGUUUAUUUAACCUGCAUUACAUGGGAAGCUUAAGUUUUCUACCAGAUUUGUGCAGGGGUUUUUAUAGGGUGUGGGUAUAUGGUGGUUACUCUGGAGAUUUGUCUCCGCAAUUAACUUUGGAGCUCUUGGCAGGGAAGGAAGACGCCAUACUUAUUGAUGUCCGGCCUGAGGCAAGAGAGUAAAUUUUCUGGCCUUUUAUGUUCUUAAGUUUCUUUUGUUAGAAAUUCUAGUAUCUCAAUGAGAGACACUAAAGCUGACUGCUCAGACAUUUACUGAAGGGUCUGUAUUGUUUUUUCAACUCUGUUCAUUAAUACAUUCCAUCUUGUAGCUACCCCAUUUCAUAUUUUCAAUAGUUAAUUUCUUUUCACUAGGAAAUAUUACUUACCAUCCACCUUUCUACCCCAUUUCUUUUACAUCACGGUAAAAAAAUCUCAAAUUUGGCACCCUCAUUAAUUUCCUUUUUUUCCCGUUAACUUGGCAUUGAACUAGGUGGACAUUGUUUAUAUGAUGGUUCUCAUAGAAAGAGAUGGCAUUCCUGAUCUUAGGCGAGCCGCUCGGUUUUGCUAUGCAAGUGUAACUCUACCAGAGGUUGGUUUUAUUUGAUAAUACUAUUCUAAAGCUAUGAGUGGAGAGGUAUUGCUAUUUGGUAUGAGGAUGAUAGUUUAGAACAAUUACUUUGUUUCUAAAUGUCAAAUAACUCUUUGAACCAACAAUAAAAAAAUAAAACAAGAAUUGGAGCUUGGCUGUAUCCCUUUUUCAUAACUCUGUCUUAUAUUCUUCAACUUUAUUCUGGUAGAUGGCCCAGUAAGGAAGCUUUUAAAGGGUGGACGGAUCUUGAUGACAUCUUAAUUGCCUCAGUCAUUCGAAACUUGAAAGCUGUACAGGUAUAGCUUUAUGUUUUAAGAGCUUUGAUAUAACUAUUGUUUAUGCAUGCUGUCAUUGUUUCGAGACAUUCAGAAAAAUGAGAAUUCUGAGUGGUGCAAGACAGAAAGGAAAUUCUCGGGGGGAGUGAUUUGGGUUUGGUUUAAUCGAUGUUGUGUGUUUUAGCAUCAGUGGCCUCUGAGGACACAAGAAAUUGUUUUGGUAUUACCAUAUGCAGUACAGUCGCUACAUCACAAUCUCCUGAGUGUUCCAUUUUUAAAUCCUGAAGCAGGAACAUUGUCUCAGAGAUUUUUUUUUUCUUAUACUGUAGGACAAGUACCAGGUAAUGGUUAUGGAUGCUGAUGGUUCUCGUUCUAAAGGCAUCGCUAGAUCCUUGAGAACGCUUGGGGGUUAAGGCAAGUAUUUGGAAUCUCUAAGAAUUUUUUUUUAUCACAUAAAAGCCUAAACAUCUAAUUCAUCAUGGAACUAGAAGGGCAAAAUGAAUUUAUCCACUCUCCCUUAGUCAAGUUUCUUUGGGAUAUAAAACAUUUCUGAGAGUUUUUCAGUAUCAGUAACCUUAGAAACAAAUAACAAUAUCCAUAUUAACCAGAUUUGGGAAGAGUACAUUAAUGUCUUAUGUGCAUUUACAAUGUUGUUAAGUCAAAAACCGUUACUCCUUAUGCAUGUUUUCUGUCGUAUAAAUGCUAUAGAUAGAACCCAAUUUUCAUUCCGGUUGUUCUCAAGUGGUAUAAUUCAGAAAGCACAUUAGUAUUACAUCUAACUUAUGUCCUUAAAAUCUCUCUCUCUCUCUUAAAAAUAAUAAAAAAAAGUCUUUACCUUGCUUGAAUGGGAAGUUGCAAUGUAUUAAUCAAUUUCAAUAUUCUUUUAUUUCACUCCAUAGAUUGAUGUAAAUGGCUUGUAGAGAAACAAGUUAAAUGCAUGAAUUUUAGAUGAUAUCAUGGUUCAUUCCUGUACUAAUCAUAUAAUUUAGAUAGAGAAGAUAGUAGAAUUUUGCAGAAUUAAACUUUGUGACCUGUAUUAUAAGAAAAUUUGAACUGCCAGGUUAGUCUAUUGUUAAUCUGGAACCACAACCUAUUGUAUCAUAUUGCUAAUUGUUUGUUUGCAUUUUUAUGUGACAAAGACCAUACUUGGUCCAACGUGGCUUCCAACCUUGGGUAAAACAAGGUAUCCAAGCUAAGGAGCUGAAACCUGAGACCAUGCCAACCAUACUUAAUGAGGUAAGGUUAUUGCAUGACUUGCAUAUUCUCUUAACUAGUAUAAAAUUCUAGAAAUACAAAAUUCUAUUUCCCGAAAGCCAUUGAUCAACUCAAAGUAUAUGUGUGGACAAUGACAAGCUGUAGAUUAUACAAUAAUAUAUUCGGCCAACUGAGAUAAACCUAGAGAGUUGAUUAAUUUGACAUUUAUUUCAAAAACACAUGAAAAGAGUGAAAUUUCUUUGUUGGGUGCACAUUGGUGCACAAUGGAUACUAUCAAAAUGGUAUCCACACCGCAUAGAACAACAUGCACACACAGAGGCAUAUGAGAUGUACUUGUGUCUGUGCAGUGCGUGUGUAAAUUUACAUGGAGAGACUUAUUUCAAAAACAAAUAAAAAGAUGUGCUAUGUGCAAUCACACUUGUAUGAACACGUGCAUCAUGAGUGUUUGUAUAUAUGUAAUUGAUGGGCUACCAUAAACUGGGUAUGCAGGCCAUAGGAAUUGUGUAUGUUUCGACACAUGACGGUUUUCUUUUUCUUUUCUUUUUUGUUGCUGUCCUCACAUUCUUCUUGUCCACCAAGCUUGAACUUUGUUUCAGAGUGGGAGAAGACCUUACAAUUUAUUGCCAUCACUGGCCUCAGUCAGGUAUACUUUUAUUUGUUAUAGUGCUCUGGUUAAUGUUUUUUUUACACACACAGAUGUUGAUUGUUGAGCUGAUAAUGGUUAAAACAAACUUCACACAUUCUGAUAUUGUGCUAGUACUCAGAUCCUUUGAUGUAUUCUGUAAAAAUAGCAUGUAUAUGACCAUUAAGCUAGAUUCCCUUUGUCUAUUUUGCACGUGUUCUAGGGAAAGGUUUAUGUCAUUGAUAAAUUUAGUUAAGUAAACCUUGAGUUUCUCUAAUUAUUGGUUUCUCACACUCCGCCAGACUAUUUAUCAGUGGGUUUCUUCUUAUAAUGGCCCUAAAGAUUUUAAGUAAGAUGUGAGAAGUACUUUAGACACAUAGAGGUAAACAUGUGAUUUGCAGAAGCAAAUAUUCAAACACGCAACUAGAAAAAUUGUUCACAUACGUGUGGUUAUGGCGCAUCCCUAGCUUGGACAAAGAAAAAGACGCAACUAGCUCUUAAGAAUUCUUAGUUGUCUGCAUUGAAGUCUCAGCUAACUUUCAAUCCUUCUCGAGGACUUGUAAGUAGGUUAGGUGCAGUUCUAGGUUUUGUUUCUGAGAUCACGUUUCAAUUGGCCUCACGCUAACCACUUCAUGAGGGAAAACCUCACAAACUUUAUAAUAACUAGGACGGAGACUACUAUUUUUGUCUUGUUUUUCCUUGGGUUAAGCUAAACGUCAGAAACAUGUUAUACGACUAAUUUCUGUCGUUUUUAUAAUGACACCCUUGUUUUUUCUUUUUCUUUUUUCUUUUUUCUUUGUGACGUGGAGACGCUCAUCUCGUAUAAAUUAAUUUUUUUGUAGUGGGUAACUUAUAUUUUUGUGAGAGGUCGGAGUACAGCUCGUGACAUAUCUAAUAUCUCUUUGAUGGACCCCCGGUGUAGGAGAGGAAUGCCAGACCCAUGGCCUGCGAAUCGUGGAUGAAAAGAACAGGGCAGACAAUCUAUAAAUUGAAAUGCUUAAACUCAACGAUAUGGGAAUUCUUCAAUGAAAUGCUAUUUAAUUAGCAUUAGUAUUUCUCUUUUCCAAAAGAUCUUCCGUUCAAACCUUUUUUUUAAUUAGAAAAAACCAUGGAAAGUUGAGCCGUGGACAUGUACCCACCACAAAUUUUGUCAAGAGAUUCUAUGGAUCCAGUUUUAUAAUGAGGUUGGUUAGCUGUAAAGGUCCCCAAUUCGGUUCAAAAAAAUUUUGUUUGAAUUAAUUUUGUUACCUUUUAUUUUAUUUUUAUAUUUCUUAGUUUUAAGUUUAUUUAUUUAUUUAAAGAGUUAUAAUAUAUGCAAUAACAGAAUCUUGAAUACUUACUGUUUUUCUUUUGUUGUUAGUAUUCAUUAGUUAGAUGGUUGUUACAGUUAGUUGAGUAAUUAGUUGAAUAACAGAGAGUUAGUUCAUUAGUCAGUUGCAAGGAAAUAACAAUAUUUACAACUAUCUUGAAAACCAAGUAAUAAUUUAAGAACAAUUUGCAGUAAUUACAGAACUCUCUCCCUUUCAAUCUCUUUUAUUUCUCCCUCAAUUUAUUUUCUUCUGAACUUUUAUUUCUCCCUUUCAAUUUCUUUUAUAUCUCCCAAAAUUUUCUUUUGAACUUUUUGUCCGCCCGUAGAUUUUCAUCAAAGUGCAGAUACACCCCACAGCUUUUCAACUCGAAAGGCCUUCGGCUCUCAUGAUCUCGCAUCCUUCCCCAGUAGAAUUUAAAAGUAACUUCAUUGUCGGAAUAUUUACGUAAAUGAUUUACCAAUUUGAGCUCGUAGUGUAGAAUCAUGUGAUCUGAGUCACAUGGCUUGAUCAAGUAACGUAAUAGAAGGCUUUUCUGGGAAUCUAAGACGACUUCAUCAUCACCAUCAUGCUCACUGUUUUUACUCUUAACAUGGUAAUCAAGAUAUAAAUUAACAUCAAUAUCAUCGACUUUAUAAGGCAUGUCCUGGGAGGGAGGAGGGAGGAGGGAGUAGAAAGACAAGGCAGAAAGCAAUUCCCUUGAGCUGAUGACAAUUUGAGGGCAACUGUAUGGUGAGUGAAGAUCCAAUUCCUUUGUCACCGAACCAUUCUGGAAUUUCACUCCCCGGUAGAACCAUUUGAAUUCUGCCAAGUGGGAUCUCCUCUCCGGAAUGUAACACAAAAGUCACAUUUCAAAAAUGUGAUGAAGCAAGCAAGAGAGAGAGAAGAAAGAAAGAGAAGGGGGUUUAGAGAGAUACCUGAAUUUUCAAAUGCAUUGCCUCUAUCUGUUCUUUCUGAUCCAAUUUGAAGCAAUUUGUAAAAUCCCUUUGAAACCGUAAUGUCAGCGAAGAGGGAAUCUCAGGUAACGCUUUAAUAGCUGUUCCAUGGAAAGUCAGAUGUUGCAAACAUACCAUAUCUUUGAUUGACAAGGGUAGCUCUUUGAUAGGUGUUCCAUGCAAUUCCAAAUAUUCCAAAGAUACCAUAUCUUUGAUUGACAAGGGUAGCUCUUUAAUAGGCGUUCCAUCUAAUCUUAGAGUCGUCAAAGAUAUCAUAUGCUUAAAUGAUGAUGAGGGUAUCUCUUUAAUGCCUGUUUUACUCAAGUAAAGAUAACGCAAGGAUUCCAUAGGCACUGUGAUUUCUGGGAAGCUCUCAAGUUUUGAGCAACCACUCAUAUCCAACGUUUCGAGUCUUGUGAGAAACUGGAUUGAUGAGGGCACCUCUUUAAUAGCAGUUCCCUUUAGUUCUAAUGUUUUUAUAUCCUCUAAAUUCUCCGGAAACUUGGUCAUCUUUGAGCAACCACUUAGAUAAAGAUAUUUCAACCGGCCAGUAACUGAUUGUGGAACUUCUUUGAUUGAAGUUUGUUCCAACUUUAACCAUACCAUAUUUUGUGAAAUCGUUGGACACGUGGUCACAUCUAGGCACCGACUUAUAAUAAGGAAUCUGAGAACCUUUGAAUAAAGCAUUGGAAAACUUCUAAGAUUAUAGCAAGAACGGAGAUUAAUUACUUCCAGCUUGUCAAGAUAUUGAAGAGAUGACGGAACCUCGGUUAAACUUGGACAGUCCGUAAGAUCUAAGGACACUAAAUUUUUGGCCAUUGAUAGAUCUGGCAAUUCCGUCAAAUAUGGAGAGUUAGAUAGGUUAAUUCUUCUUAAAUUUCCAACAUCCUGUCAACAGAAAUAGGCAUAAUUAGAAAGUUAGCACCUCUCCAACUUCAUAUUUCUGAUCAUAAAUCUGCAGCAAUUAAAUCAUACCUUUACUCCGGUCCAAAGUUUUACAAGCUUGCUCCUGCUUAAGUUAAGCUCGACAAGAUGUUCAGCACAAAAAACACGCGGCAAGGAUUUUGAAGGGAAUCCAUGGCAUUUCAAAUAUCUCAGCUUAUUAGGAAGAUAUUCGAGGCCAGUAGGAGGAAGGUUCAUUGUAAAUUCAUUUUCUUGGAAGGAACCAACAUAGAAACUGAGAAAUCUAAGACCAUCCAUCAUUGCGAAGGCAUCAGAUUUCAAGUGUAUGUGUCUUGGUAACCAGUCCAAAGAUAUGCCUUUAAUUUUUAAUUGAUUUCCCUGUUAAACAAGAAUAAAGAAUAAACAAACAAUAGUACAAUCUACUCAAACACGUCAACUUUUGAGCAAAAACAUGAACGACAGUUAAUGGAUGUAGCUUUAACCUUAUUUUCCUCCAAUACUUGAACGACAUCAGGAGGAUAACAUAACCUGCUACGUUCGCCAGGAAAAUCAGAUUCUGCACGAACAAUGUUAAAUGCCAUUUCUUGUAGUAAAUCAUGCAUUUCUAGCCUAUCAUAAUCAUCAGUAGUUAUGAGACACUUAUCAAUGAGCGUGCUUAUAUCGAACUUCACAGAUCGACCAUAUAAGCAAUCUAAUAUUCUUGUUGCUUCGUCUUGGUCCAAUCCUAUGAAGAAAUGUGCUAUGUCAAGAAAUAUGGAUUUUUGUUCUGAAUCCAACCCAUCGUAACUAAUUCUCAACGCCCUUUCGAUUCGAGGGUGCUGAGCUAGUUUAUUCAAUGCACUGCGCCAUUCUUCGAUGUUUUUACCAUAGAGAGAGGAACCCAAAACUAUAAGAGCCAACGGAUUGCCUUGUACAUGACUUACAAUCUUUUCUAUCAAUUCUCUAUGAUCAAUUGUGGGGUUGCAAUUCUUCAAGGCAUUCGAGCUAAAGAGUUGAAUAGCUUCUUCAUCGUUCAACCCCUCAACCUCGUAUGUCUCAUCAACUACAUUACUAAGCACUUGCUUGUCCCUACUGGUUAUGAGAACUUUACUGCCCGGACCAAAUGAAUUGUUUCGUCCAUCAAGCAAAUCUUUCCAUUCUUCAAAACGCAUUAAAUCAUCCACAUUAUCCAGAACAAUAAAAACCUUUAUUCGACGAAGUCUAUCCCUCACAAAAGAAUCUCGAAAACUCAAGGAGCCCAUAGUGUUCAGAGUUUCUUGGCCAAGCAGUCGUUUAAGAAAUUUUCUUCGCAAAUCAGAUUGUUGCCUAAAGUUUUCAAAAAAGAUUCCAUCAAAUCGAGAACGAACCUCGUUGCACACAACCUGAGCAAUCGUUGUUUUACCGAUACCACCCAUUCCCCAUAUCCCUACAAUGAGAACAUCUGGAGACUCCAUAUUUAACAAAGACUCAACUUUGCUAACAUGAACAUCAAUUCCAAUUAGACCCGUCAUAAUAUGACUUGAAGACAUGACAUGUAAUUUGUUCAAAACAUCUCCAACGAUUUUCUCAAUAAAUUCAGACUCCAGCCUAACAAACAAGAAGAGCACACAUAAUUGUUAGUCAAAAUGGACCGGACAAGAAGAAACAUAUAAACAUACUCACUCCUUAGUAGCUAUAUCUAUACAUAGUAGACACGUAUGAGUAAUUGAGCAUCAUUAUUGGCAAUGGAUAGUGCUAAUGUAACACAUGAAUCGAUGAUAACAUUGAGUUGAGUGAUAUGUAAAAAUACAUGACAUUUUUCAGUGAUAUGCAUGUAACACAUGAAUCGAUGAUAACAUUGAGUUCAGUGAUAUAUAACACAUGUAAAAACUAGAAACUACAUGUAAUCGGUGUUUAUCUAAUAAAAUCAAUUAAAUGCAAAUGCAUAUGAUGUUUUCUCAUGUCAUCCUUUUCACCUCAAACAAAUAGAAUAUUAUUUAACGACAAAAGAAAACAUUGUCUGUCCUUGUAAAAUUAUUUAAAACAAAAAGAAUAAUUAAAAAAAAAACAUUUUGAAACAUAAAAACAAACAACCACUUAAUAUCAAUACAAGCCUUAAUAUUUAUACAAGUAUUUUGCUACAAAUAAUAUUUUUUUUUCAAAUUAUUUUUAAUAUAAACAUAUUAAAAUAAUUUAAAAACAUUAAAAAAUUAAUUUAAAAUAAAAAUAAUUAAAGUUUUUACAAAACAUUUUAAAACACAAAAACAAACAACCACUUAAUAUCUAUACAAACAUUUUAUAUUAAAUAAUAUUUUUUUAUUUUUUAAAAUAUUUUUUUAAUAUAAAACACAAAUAAUAUAAAAAACUAAAAUAAAAUAUUUAAAAAAAAAACCAUUUUAAAACACAAAACAACCAACCACUACAACGUUUUCAAAAUCAAAUAAAAUAAAUAUAAAUUCACAGAGCUCAUCAUUCUCAAUAAUUUUAAAUUAAAUUUCAAAUCCUCAACAAAUGAACGAAUAUUUUCUCAUGGGAUAUAUUUCAAGAGCUUACUCAGAAUUCCCUAAGCUCCAUCCAGAUAGAUUGGCUGCAUCCGUCAAAGCGUCUCUGAAGCUCUGCACUUCUUCCAACGUCAGAGCUUUAUUCCUUAUAAGUCUAGCAAAUGCAUCCCCAAAGCUUCCAGUUUGAUUUCUUACAUGGGAUGGAUCCACCUUGUAAAAUACUGGAAUAACUAUAUGUCCAUUUUUUUUUCCACGUUCAAAAAUCUUUGCAAGCUCCUCCAAGCACCUUUUGGAAGAUGCAUAGUUUUCAGAAAAAACAAUCACAGAAAGCUUGGCCUCUUCAAUUGUUCUCAGAAGUGAUUCCGGAAUCUCAUCUCCUCUAACAUGCUGAUCAUCUUCGAAAGUUAGGAUUUGUUUCCGUUUCAAAGCAGCAUGGAGGUGGCUGGUAAAACCAACACGAGUUUCUUCUCCUCUGAAACUAAGGACGACAUCACAUUUAAUUCCUUGUGGCUGGGCGGUGGUUAAGGUGGAAGGAGUAGAUGGCGAUGGAGAUAUAUGACGGCUUCGUAUGAUGAAUCUCCAGAUAUAAGCAAACAUUUCGAAGAAACAAGAGUAAGACUCUGGUGGUAAGGGAGGUCUGGAGGGAGAGAGCGGAAGUAACUCAAGGAAAAAAGAUGAGGCUGAUUUUGAGUCAGUAGCUUAG